rnacentral:lncRNA from 1 species
GUGAGUUUCUCUUUCAGUUUCUUUUUCAGUUCAUAACAUCGACUCAUCUUCCCCUGCACUCUUCAGUGAUUCUUGUCUGAAUGACUUCUUCUUCGUCUUUAUGUUUUUCCUUGUGGAUAUCUGGUCGUCCAUUUGUUCCAAAGUAAGUUUCACUCUUUUAAACUUUUUGUCGGUACAUUUUUUGUCUGAAUUUUUAAGUCCUUUUGUCUUGAAGUGUUUAAUACUUGUGAGCAGAUGAAGUUUUAUGAAGCUCUUGGGCUUCUUUUCAAUUUGUGCUGAAAAAACUCAAAACUUUAAAGUUUCACAUUCAGUGAAAACAGUGACAUCUGGCAGCUUGUAAAACCAAUGACAGCCCUCCAAAUGAUGAUCAGGAGCGUCAGUACACCUCUGGACGCAGUUUUAAUACAUUCAAGAAAUAAAAUAGGUGUUGUUAAUUAAAACUAUUCGCAUAACCUCUUCUAAUAUUAUAAUUUAUCCAUGUUAUAGGGGCCUUUUAGGGAGGUUUGUUGCAAGUAAUCUAUCCGUUAUCACGAAUUUAAGUUAAAUGUUUCGUAGUCGAACGACUGAUAAGAUUUUGAAGGUUUGGAAACAUUUGAAGCUUUGAUUUAUCGCCAGUCACGUGAUGUUUCAUCUUCGACACAAGCUUUAACACUUAAGAGUGAAAUUGAGGAUUAUUACAGACUUCAAAGCAAAACUGUUAGCAAAGCCGUGUGAUAAACCAAAAAUACAGUCGGCAAAUAUUAACAUCUGGAAUACUUUAUAUUUUUUCUUCUAAUAAGCGUUUUGCACAUACCAGCCAUUCUCUCUUUACACGUUUACGAACUUCCGACACUUUAUGUCAGUCCCAGCUGCACUUUGUGUUUGUGGCUCAUUUGGAAAUAAUUUACAAGUACUUAAGCUAACAUGUUAAACACAUGGUACAGAUUACUUCUCAAAUAUCAACAGGUUGGUUUGGCAUCAUAAGCAUGUUUUUGUAACAUACCAGAGCAGCUGUGAUCCGAACCAUACGUACAGUAAUAGGGGUAAUAAGAGGCCGUGUUACCCCCUUUAGUGAAGGCUUGUUUAUGUCCUCGUCACAGUGUCGAUCUGGGGCCUUGAGAUCAAGGAUAUGAAGGGUAAACGGGGGAGGGGGUCUUGUUUUAUCACUAGUCUUAGAUCCUUUUCCACUUAAACCAGAUCAUUUCUCACACACCCUAAUUGCCCUCUGAAUUAUUAACCCAAACACAGAUACAACGAGGGUCGUCCUGUCUGAUCUGCCUGAAGGUCUCCGAUAGUCCUUGAGCGCCGUGAGCAGACAUAUACAUUUUUUAUCAUCUGCUGAGAGGCUUUUUGUCCCAUCACACGAAUUACACCCUUGUUCUGCGUUCUUGGAUGGCGUACACUUGAACCAAGUCCAGAGUAAAUUCAUGAAAUGACUCUGUAGAUAUAAUUAGAACGUAUACUCACAGGCUUGGCCGAUGUUCUUUGUGCAAAUCUGUUUUCUUCGUGGCUUCCGUCCAACACUGCGGCGGGGUAACGAGAACUCUCAUGUAUAUUUUUCCCUCCCUUAAAGUUUUCACAGUCCCCGUUUGGCCUCUUUCAAGGAAACAAAUAAUGACUAACAAGUUGACUGAACUGUGGAUGCUGAGAGUUUUAGAUGCUCUUAUCUCAGAUAACAUCCGCUGUGUUCAAUAAUUCAACAUCCUUCGAAUUAAUAAUGCAUAUUGUGCUGUCUAACUGAAUGACAAUGUAAAUGUUACACUAUGUCUGCAUUUAAAUGACUUAUUCAGUAUGAAGACAUCAGCAAAGAGAGAUUACUCUGCAUAGAGAAAAUGAGCUAAUUGGUUGUUUUAUACUCUUUGAUAUUAGUGGUGAACUUUUCCUCUUGUUCCAGGGAGCUGUACAUCAGUUAAAUCCACCGCUGUAACCUUUAAAGAUUUGGAAGGAUGUGUUUCACCUCCUGACACUCGUUUUGCUUUUUCAGCUUAGAUCCUGUUACCCAGAGUGUUCAGUUUAGCCAGCGUUUGUUUCUCCCAUCUGGAAACAGGCCAGUUAGGAUGUCAUUUUAUAAAUGGGCCGCUGCUGUGAUAAAUGUUCUCCUGUCUUAGGAUCAGGACCCUGACACUAAAAUUCUGUGGGAUAAGGCCAGACAGAGAACCUCAAAAAAACCUGAAGUAACAGGAAAGAAACUGAAAGUCUGUGAAGUUUAAUUCUUGUAUAAAAGUUACUUUUACAGAGUUCAUUUAUAAAUUCUGUGACCAGGGAGCAGGUCGCCAAAUAUACCAGAUAUUACGCAGGGCUUCACACUAACUUUUUGCACAAGGAGCACAUGUGCCCCUAAGUUGAAAAAGUAAGGAGCACACAAAGAACUUUAGAGGCACAAUAAAAAUUGAUUAAAUAAUGUGUGUCUUACUGGUCAACAUAAGUUCUACUAUUUGAACUCAAUUUCAGGUCUUUUGGUCACAUGACAUGGAAGCUAUUGAAGAAAAUGUUCAAAAUUUGCCUUUAAGUUUAACGCAAACAUUUUUAGAGGACAAAUUAGGGAAAUAAAGAUGUAUGUCUUAUCGUCCAACCUUAGUACUAUUAUUUGAAAUCAAUUUUAGGCCAAUUGGUCACAUGACAUGAAAGCUAUUGAAGGAAAACAGCCUUUUCUGAGAACAUCAACCGGUAAUUUAUUGACGGUCCCUUAUUCAACACCCGACAUUGACAGCGAGGGUGUCGAGUAGAUUUAACCGCACUGCUGUUGUUAUUCCCGUUUAUGGAGAGUGAGAAGACACCGGUAGAUCCGCCGUGAAUGUCCGUCGGAUAUCCAACCUAAAACUAACUGCUAAUUUUUUUUAUGUGCACAUGUGCCCCUAAAUACAUUUUACAAUUUGCACACAUCUAUUUUUAGUCGCAAAUGACAUGGUCGCAUUGUCGAGCCCUGUUAUGGUCAUAGUAUUACUAAUCAGUCAGAUUUUACUUUGUAGGUCUUGGUAAGAGGAUGAGACUACUUUGAAAUCAAUCAAAAACUCAUCUCAGUGAAUUUAUGCUUCAAAUACAUUGAAAAGACUCAGUGACAGUGGUAUUGAUGCUAUGCUAGCUGCUGGUUUGAGAUUGUUUUUUUUUUUUUUAUCUCCUCCACAAAAAAGGAAACAACAAAUGUUUUUGCCCAAUUAUUCCUGUUCAAACUCCUUUAUUUUAAAAACUUGUUAGCAUGUGCCCUCUCUGCCCUCUUUGUUUCUGACUCUGACUUGGUUGAACUUUGUUUUGGUUUUGCUUCAAAUAAAGGAAACUGUGAGCGUGUGAGGAGGGCCGAAGGGCAAACAGAGUUAUUUCACUUCUGCUCGCUGUUUGAUCUCCAGCUGCACAGCAGCGACAAUAACCGGGGAAUCCACUUCUUUCUGCUGCAGCCGCUCUACAUUAUUAGCCCUAUUAAAUGAGAUUAAUAAAUAACAAGAGGGUGUAAAACCAUAAUUUUGUGGAAACAUUUUAAUGAGGAGAACAAAUUAAGUAAUUUGGGGCUAUGAAUAUUUAAUUUAAAAAAAGAAAUUACUCAUAAAUUCCCACAACUGCUGGCUUUUAGAUAUUUAAUGCACUUUUAAUACAUUGAAAAGGGGGAUACAAAGCUCAGGCUUUAUUAACUUUCAACAGCUUUAUUAUUAGGUGCCUUAAUAUAACAUCACGUUUUCUUAACUGCUUUCUUUUUCUGUUUUUUUUAAACGUUCUUUGUUUCUCUCACCACUCUAAGGUACUAAAUUAAUCCCUUAAGUUCAUUUAUUUGUUGUAUUGUCUGAUAUACAGGGGUGCAGUAAAAGGUAUAAAACUUAGCAGAACAUACAGUAUAUAAAGCUUCAAAUAAUGACUUAAGAGCUUUCCUAAUGGUUUCUUUAUUGUUAUUGCUGUUAUUGUUGUCGUUUAAGUAUCUCCGUACUUCUCAUCCAUGUUUAUGUUACUGCAGUCAAUAAAAAGUAUUUAUUCUGCAAGGAAGGUAAGAAAGACAGAGUCUCAGGCAGCGUUAGUCAGACAGCAGCAGUUUCGAAUAAUACACACUUAAAUGAUUGAAAACGCACAAAAUACGUAAGACAACGCAAGACAGAGAUGCCCAUUACACAUUCACAUUCAAAUCACGUUAUUAUGCAGAACAGCAACAUGUUUCCUUCAGGGCAGUUUUCAAAAGACCUUUUAAAGGAUCAAAAAACAGCCGCUGAUUUUGUGCCUGGUUUACUUCAGAACAAAGCCUCUGUCUGAGUUUGUGCUUCACCGCCGUGUGUCUUUACCUUCCUCUCCUUUGUUGUACUUCACACGCUGGCCUCAUCUGGGCCAUUGUUUCAUCAGGGGGUUUGACUAACUUUGUUAUUUUCAGCUGACUCCGCGUUCUGUAGGUCAGCUGCAUCUGCUAAGCCCCAUUCUGGAGCCCUCAGCUCCCCAGUGUCCCCUGCAGCCAAACAGCCACACUAGCCAGCGGGCCCAUAUAACUCCCAACUGCUGACAACUCACGGAGACAUCUUUGUAAUUUAAGACGUAAUUCCCUUUUCCUAGGAGCUGUAUAAAAUCUAUAUUGCGACCAUAAACAAUCCGAGCUUUCCUGUGAGCCUCCCCUUCCUGCGUUUUAUGUAUGCAGAGAGAUAUUAUUGGAGAUGUGCACUGGCAAGCACUUCUGUUUUCUGAAAGGCCAAGCAGCACUAAAGUGGAACCAAGCCAAGUCCCUGGUCAUCCUGAUGGAGCUAAGAUUUGGCCUUAUUUAUAAGUCAACCUCCCUUUGGCCAGAAAUGUGGUUCUUGUUCAGUUAUUAAGGUGUGCUCUAAAUGUGAGGUAACGAUCUUAUAUAAUACGAUACAAUAGGAUACAGUAGUGUACAGAUGAUGGGUACUAUUAGAACACAAUAUGAUAUAAUUUGAUACAGUGCAAUACAAAACUAUAUGAGUCUACAGAAUAGGAUACAUUUGGAUAUGUUACAAUAAAAUAUGAAACAGUAUGUUACAUUACGAAAUAGGAUAUACUAUUAGAUACUUUAUUUAUGAUAAAAGGAUAUAUGAAAUUUUGAUUUAUGAUAUGAAAUACAAUAUGAUAUGAGAUAAAGUAUAUGAUAAGAUAUCAUCUUAUAUAUGAUACAAUGUUGCGAUAUGUGACACGAUCAAUGAUACGAAAUUUGGUAUAUCACUUUAGAUACAAUAUUUGAGAUAAGAUCAAUGUGAUACAGUAUGAUAUGAGACACAAUAGGAAAUUAAAUAUGAUAAAAUAGAAGAUACGUUUUGAGAUACAAUAUAUAAUACGUGAUACAAUUAUGACACAGAAUGAUUUUAAUUUCAAUUUGAUAUGAGAUUCAGUAUGAUACGAGAUAUGAUUAUGAGAUACAUUAUAUGAAAUAUGAUACAUGAGAUACAGUAUAUGAUAAAUGAUAUGAGAUACAAUAAACAGUAUGUGAUACAAAAUGACAGAAUGAUAUUAAAUUCAAUUUGAUAUGAAAUUCAAUAUGAUAUGAGAUAUGAUUCUUGAGAUACAUUAUGAGAUAAGUCACAAUACGAGAUAUGAUUUAUAAGAUAUCCUAUGGCAUAAGAUAAUGAUGGAAUACAACAUAAUAUGAUACAUUAUGAGAUAUGAUAAACAGAUAAGAGACAUAAUGUAAUAUUCUAUAGGCUACGAUUUGAUACAAUAUGGCAUUUUAUCAGAAAAUGUAUCUUUGAUGAGAGUACUGCUCAUGCUCUCUCUCUAGCAGGGAUAAACUAAAAAACUUAAUCAACAACAUCAACAACAAUCCAUAAGCGAUUUUAAAGACAUGUACUUCAAGGAAAUAACAAAUAACAUCUAUUUCCCAUUACUCAUGUAUUGCAAGAUCUGCACAAAACAGCAUAAAUGAAGAGAAAGACAAGAAGAUAAGAACCUUACACUAUUGCACAAGCUGAACAGUCUCAAGACAGAUUUCUGAAUUUGAUCAAGCUAAGCAAAAGGUAGUGAAUUAAAAAAAGAGAUCAUUCAUAUAUAUGAGAAUUUGUUCAGAGCACAAGAACUUUAACACUUUCCAGAAAUUCUCACAGGAAAUCCAAACCCAGUUCUGUCAGAGUUCAUUACAUCUUCCAGGACAGCAUAAAGCUACAUAAAGUUCAUCUUCCUCUCCAGGAACUGUCAGGAUUAGGUUUACUGCAGCUUCCAGCUACUCAAGGUUGACUGGUGCCCAGUCUGAUGACCUGUUAGCUCUGUCAGUCCAGGAUUUCUUGAAGUGACAACCUCUGUAGGCUUUCCAUUUCAGCUGCAGGGCCCCUGUUCAUCAGUCUUCUGUCAGGGGCUGAUGUACUCUACCAAGCAAGUGUGAUAACAGUCAACCAUCAGGGGAGAUACUUAAGAACUACAUCAUGACGCAGAUUUGUGUUUGAUUUCAUGUGUUGUCAGGUUUGUGUUUAAUACAGGCAGAACAUUACUGGACUGUUGAGCAGUGUAAAGAUCAAACACUUCUGAUGCAACACGAGAGUAUUAGAAACAACUCGAGUCUACGAUUGAUCAGCUUGAACCAAACAGGGUUGUACAAAACAAAUUUUUUGUAGCACUUAAAGAAUGGAAUGUAACAUAAUUGAUUAAAAAAUGGAAUGAAAUACAAAAAAAUUGUAUGAAAUGAAAUUGUUGGUAACACUUUACAAUAACCAUAACUUACAAAUGGUAAAUAGACCAUUUAUAAAUUUUAAGCAGAUAGUCAAAUCAUCAUUUAUAAAUAGCAUAUAGAUCAUUUAUAAAUUGUAAAUUGUAAAUUUUAAAAACCCUAACCCAAACUCUAACCCUAACUUUACAAUAACCAUCUCAGUAAUGUUUAUAGAUAGAAAUAUUAACAAUAUAUUUAUAGACCAAAUAUUUACAAUUUACAAUGCGCUACUGACACACAUUUUAAUCUAGAUGUUUUACAACCAAUAUUUAAACCCUAUAUAAACCUUUAAUAAAUAGUCCAUUAAUAAUUAAUAAAAAUUAUUACCAAGUGCGGGAAAAAGCAAAAUCGGAGGCGGAAACAAGAUGGCUACAUCUGCGAAAGUUAUUUUAGCACUUGCCUUGUCCGAAUAUAACAAGGACAAGACAAGCGCUAAAAUAAAAAAUUUAACUAAAAUGAGAACUUGCAUAAAAGUGAGUUUAGUAGAACUGAGUAGAAUGAUAUUUUAUUGAAUGGAAUUGUAUGGAAUAGAAUGUAUGUUGCACUGUUUACAGUUAUAUGGUGCAUGAUAAAAUUAUAUGAUGAAUGGGAGAUUGCACAGUUAAACCAUGUGUAUUGAACAGUUGAAUAUGUAUUAAUGCACAAGGAAAAUUAUAUCAUACAGCACUUUAUGUGAUGGAUAUGCAGAGAAAAACUAACUGAGUGGAUAACUUAAAUUUUACUAUAAUAAUUGUGAAUUAGAAAAAAAACUACAUUGCACCAAAAAAAUCUAGUUGUGUGUUUCAGACUUUUGUUUUAGAACUCUGCGUGACCCUCAUGUUGUGAUGAAAUUAAGGCUGUAUCCUCUUAACCGAGGAUAUUUGGGUUCUGAAUGAUACUGAGCAGUUAAGUUCACUGUCGUCUCUAUUCCACCAGCUCAUUGUCUUAUUGUUGAUACAUUUCAGUCUUCCUUCUUUUCUGUGUUCAUCCAUUUAGAGCUCUGGAUGCUGUUUUGUGACACACCAGUAAAAUAAUCAUCAUCAUUAUAUUUUCUGGUUAUUUAUCACUUCCCUGACAGAAUGUCAAAAGCACUGAGUUUCAGUUUUGUAUUGUUCUGCAGAAAGGCUAAUUAUGCAUGUCUAAGUCUCCAGCUAGCGUAACCAUUUGUGCUUAUGAGGCAGCUCAUUGUGGCAGCUCCAUGUGUCUGCUGCUGCACAGGCUCCAGGCAUUAUUCCACUUCAGCCUGACACCAGUGUCUCCUCCAAUUCCAUCUCAUUGCAUUAGUCAUUAAGCCGGGCACCGACACCACCCAUCAUAUCAUUGCCUUAAUCACAUCUGAGCUCCACUGUGUACAUAUGACCAUAUCAUUAACACACACUCCCGUCUCCUCUCCCCCUCCCUCCGUCCCCUCUUUGCCCCUCCGUCCUGCUCUCGCUUUAUUUUCCGCCACCAGAUUUGACCUGCAGAUUCAUCCGUCACUCCUGCUUGUCCGUUAUCUGCGCGGUGACAAAUGACAUUCACUUCACAAUGAUUCAUUUAGUGAUUAUUUCAGCACCUCAUAUGCAAAAUUAUUCAUCCUCAGGGCGGAUAGUUGGGGUGGUGAGGGUAACUAACGGUGAUAGAGUGCAGUGUGGGAUCCCGACCUCAUGCAAAAUGAAAAAAAUCUCACCGUACUUUUGCCAUUAGACAUCCAGCCGAGCAGAGAGAUGUGGUAUUGGUUGGAUUUUUCUAUCUCCUGUUUCCUGAGGUAAUGAUGAGGGAAGUCUGGCCAGUCAAACUGAUUAUAGAAGACCAUGUGUGUGUGACUCCACGUGCGUGUGUGUGUGUCUGUGUCUAUGUGUGCAGGUAAUGGUCUGUCUGAACUUUGCUGAGGUGGUGAUUACAGACACCCUGUCACCUGGCUAAUAGACAACUCUGAUAGGUGAGGCCGGGUCCAAUCUGCAGUGAUGGAUUCUGCAACACACAAGAACACAUACUGGUGCUUUCAGCCACAUGUACAACCAGGAAAAAGAUGUUUUGAGGAAGUUCAGUGAUUUAAAACUCUUAAAAACAAAAAUAUUUAUUGCAAACAUUAGGAAUCAGGUGAGGUUUUAAAACCUGGAAAGCAAUAACUUCGCAGUGGAGCUGAGACUUAUCAGUCGAUCUUUAGGACAUUGUGUUUUUUCUGCACCACCUCAACUGUGGACAAUUACCCAACAUCAUUUCUAGAAACUGGACUUUUCGUUCUUCAUUAUCUCUGAGGUUUUAGGUCAUGAACUUGAGAGUAUAACCUCCAAAAAGUGUUUCUGUCAAGGAUAAUGUAUAGCGAGCAGGUGGUUAUGCAGGAUAGAAUCAAGUAUUAGCACAGCCAAGUUAAAUCGAGAGCAAGCUGCUUUAUUAUUAUGAAUAUUUUGAGUAAUGCUGACUGAAAAUACAUUUUAGUUGCUGUAUUUCAAAAGGAAGAGCCUCAAAUACGUAAGAAAGAAGCUGUUGUGGCUGUAAACUUUUCCACUUUUGUUUCUAUGAGUUUAAAAGAGAGCCUUGAAACCUUUUAUUAAUGCCGCCUUUGGUGUCUUUACAGCACUCAGCGGGCUUUACAACACUUCAGGCGAUCCAUACUGUUUAUUUCACUGCUUCCACUGACUGAGGGAUUGCACCAUGUGAAUUGACAGAGCUAAUUCAGUAGAGACAGUGCUUUUUUUACACGGCUCACUGAAAUUUACUGUCUUAUUUUCCUCCCGUGCUCCCGACACCCGCAGCAGCAGCAGCAUCGCCCUCUGUGCACACGUAGUAUAUCUAACUAUUUUUAGAAAGCUGCAGACUGAGACGUUUCUGGACAUGAAUGCAUAAAACGACUUCCAUCUGCUGGAUGGCUGCAGAUAUUUACAAUUGGCAACCUCAUAAAAGUGACAGGAGGGCAAAGUGUGGUUUUAUUUGGUCGUCACCUCGUAAUGUAUUCAUAGUUGAGCGUCACAGCGCUGCUCAUAUUCCUGUAUUAACAUAUGUUGGCUGUAUUGUGACGCUAUGCCAAAUAGGGAGCUGCGUUCCCGUUUCCUCUUAUUUAUAUAUAUAUACUGCUUACUUCAAAAUUUCUUGUAUGUCUUUAUUUUAAGGCACAUCAUGAGAAACCACAUCAUGGCUGAAUCUGUUUUUCAGUAUAUGGGUUUUGUUUGAUGGAUUAAAUGCGCAGAGAGCGUGGCGUUUUAUCACUCGGUGCAGCCGAGGUCAUUGCAUUAAAGUCCUCUCCCGCCUGCACACCUCUCUCUCAUUGUAAUGUGUUCUGUUGUAAGAGACUUUGAGAUAAGCAAGAAAGUUACCGACUACUCUGUGAACCGUCACUUUGGCUUUUAAUGGCAGUGCAUCUUGUGGACGAGGAGGAAAGAGAAUCAGAUCAUGGUAGAAGGAAAACCUUUCUCUGUCCAGGAUUUACAUUAAAAACCAUUUAAAACCCAAUCCACAAUAGCCUGCUAACAUUAUUAUACUGGUUCCAUAAGUACUGGUAUUGGACGUGGUUACGCUUGCAUCAAGUUUGUUAUCUUGUCACAGAAGUGGAUUUUUCAUUCACCUUUAUUGGCUCAGGAGUUUAAUGUCAUAAUGAUGCAGCAGUCAGGUAAGCCUGGUUUGUACUGCUGGGUUAUGCUGGACUGCAAUACUUCCCCUUAACACUAGUUGGCAGUGUGGUUUCUACGCAACUCAUAUUGCUACUACUAGUUCUGCCACAUUCUCAGCAGGAAACCAUGGCAACUGAUUCCGAGCAUUUGGGAUUUUGAAGCUGAUAAAUUUAGAGUAACAGUUGAUCACAUUACAAAUUCUGAAAAGGAAAAGAGGGGCAGAGAGGAGGUGAAAUAUACAACUGUAACCCAAAUUUAACAUCCCUGGAGAACACUUUUACACUUUUCUCCAGGUCCAGCUUUGUUAACUUCCCCCAGACCUCAUUAUGUACAAUGAUUGGACUUACCUUUUAGUUUUCAUCACAUUUGAGUUAUGCUUGCCUGUUAAAGGGAUAUUCCGACGUAAAAUUAAUUUAGGGUCAAACACACUGUAACACCGAGUUAGACACCCCCUCUAGAGAUGAAUGUUGCAGACCACUUGCUUCUCUAGUUAUACCAACUUUAGCAAUGACCACACGAUAGCAAUACACAGUUAAAUUAAUUUUAUGCUGGAAUAUCCCUUUAAGGUUCUAGUCUAGGGGGUCCGGGCUCAGUCCUUCAUGUUCUUAAGUCCUAGAUGUGCCCCCGGUCAUGCACACUGGGCAUACACUGCUCUCUCAGCUGCAUCUUUAUCUUUAAUGAUUUAUUGAGACGACAAAAAGUUACACUGAAUUUGCUUUCUGUCGUAUUUCCAAAAACCUUUUCCCAACAUCAUUUUGAUGCUCAAUAAGACUCUCAAAUUGGAGAAAAUAUGCAUUUUUCUGUUUAUCAACAGGCCAGACUACAGGGGUGCCAAAGUCAGUCUUAACGGUGUAGGUCAGCAUAUGGAGCACAAUGUGCUGCACAGUCCUAUAUGGUAUCUAUGACAACAUGAAUCUUGGCACUUCCUCAGGCUGUGCUAGAUUAACCCUAUCUGUAAUAUGUCCCAUUUUCAGACCUGACUGAUGAUUGUCACACCCCUGGUCCUCUGGAGACCCAGCAGUCUGCUGCGAUCAGAGCUUUAUGUGGAAUUAACGCAGCUGGAGUUGAUGGCAAAUGACAGCUGCCGCGUCCCACCAGGGACCCACCUUAGCAGGAUAAAGGUAUUUCUGCACGCGCUCACUUCAGACCCUGUAAUGAGCUUUUUCCUGGCCACUCGGUUCCUCAGAGAGAUAGGAGAUCUCCUGUUAGCUCUGCACAGCACCCUGACAAGAUAUUACCGCAGAAUCAAAUAUAAUUACAGGAACAUGUCAGCACCAUCUGCAGCCGGGCACUGUGGCUGUAAUAAGGCUGCAGCUAAUGACUAUUUUCAACAUCGAUUACUCUGAUAGUCAUUACAAGUUUUGGGACGUGCAAAAGUGGACACAAGACGCCUGGUGGCAUUUUACUGUUUUCAGCUUUUUCCCCCAUUCUCACUGGAUGACUGCAGGUAAUGGUCCUUUUCAAAUGAGGAGUUAACUCGAUAAAAUUAAAGAGUUCAGUGAAAAAAAAGUGAUCAACAACUUUGUUUGUGGCCAGUCUUGUCUUUAAAUUUAACGAAGGCUGGAAUAAAAAAAUCUGAUUAUCCGAUUUAAACUAAUUUUCAUCGAAAUGAGAAUGUAGCAACUCAUGACAUCUGGAGAUCAGUUUUAUUGCAUAUGCUCUGCUCUUGUUGGUGGUCUUUACACUGUGAGAUCUGGACAAAAAAACACACAUCUACAAUCUGAGACAAACCCCACAAAGGUCAGGGUUCACACUCAGCUCUACAACAUAACUGGAGCUGUUGUAGCUCCGUUGAUGUCAAAACCUCAUUAUUAUUCCUGAACCAUGCACUGCGUUACUGACAUGCAUGGACAGAUCCUCAUGACCGUAAGCCCCAGGCACAAACUCACUAUGGACCCCUGAAUACACAUGCAUACUGUAUAUGUUCUCACAGUACAGCUGCUUGAUAAAUAUAUCAUGAAUAUCUGACAUGUGAGCAACACGGUGAAUAUAGAAAUGUAUGUGCAGAAAUGAAAGUCCUGCACAGUAUCUACUCAGUGUUUUGUACAAAAGAGGAUUAGGGCUACAUGUAAAGAAAAGAAAAAAAUUACAGGAACAAGAUCAACGUCGAAAUUUUGAGAUUAAAGUCAAAAUUUUUAAAGUUGAAAUGAAAUGCCGUAGACUGUGGCUUAAAUUUGUCAUAGACAUCCACGUGUCAGAGCGCUUUUGGUCCUUGGCUUCAGUUAUACCUGUAGGAUGGUAGGCGAAGGUCCCGCCCUCCUUUGCCUCUGAUUGGCUAGAAGUGCUACGUCAUCCUCUGUCAGGUGAGGGUUAGGGUUAGGCUAAGGGUUAGAGUUAGGGUUAGGGUUAGGAGAAUCAGAAGUGCAAUAAUGUUCUGUAAUGUUCUGUUCGAGCAUGUGAUGACGUUUCCAGCUUUUCUAGCCAAUCAGAGGUGAAGGAGGCGGGACUUUCCCUACCUUCCUACAAAGAAAAAGUAUCACCACCUGCGCCUCAGACGCCGGGCUCAUCGUGCUCGUAUGCUCCACUUCUUCAGGAUCAAUCAACUUGAUCAGUUGUCUAAUUGUAUCUUGUGAUACAACAAAGCCUCACUGUAUAGCACGCAGGUGUAACCAUCGAUAACCCUGCAUCUGCAUCAUAAACUUUGGCACAGUCUUCUCAGAGUCUGAAUACUUAUUACCACACUGUGUUUGUGUGCUAAAUAAGCAAGGAUUUCCUUGUUACUAAAUCCACUUCUCAAGUCCAGCUUUACAAACUCUCCUACAGAGGACAUGUUGUCGAGUGACAAUCCUGUUGAUUCAUUAUCAUUAAUCUUAACAUUACGACUUUAUUCAUGAACUUUCGUCUUUAUCUGUGUUGACUCCAAUCUCGUAAUUUCGCCUGUAAUCUCAAAAUUUUGAUUCAAUUCACGAAAUUUCAACUUAAUUCAUGUUGACUUUAAUCUUGAUAUAUUAACUUUAAUCUCGUUCCUGUAAGUAUUUUUUUUUCUCUUCAUGUGGCCCCAAACCUUCUUUCGUAGUUUUGUGUGUUUAGAGAACAUAAUCAAGAAAAGUUCACUUUAGAAGCUGCAGAAGAAAUAUUACAUUUAUCAAAGUUAAACUUUUCCACUUCCAUUAACUUUAUUGCACCUGCAGUUUCAGAAUAAAGACAUCAACUCCCAUAAUGCAGCUCUACUUCAUUACAUCACUGGAAUAAGUCUCGCAUUUAUAGUCGAGCCAAGAGACUUCACAUGCAGACUUCACGUGCUGUCCCCUUAAAGACAAAAAGUGAGAUUUAGAUUGAGGAGAGAUUUAUUCACCUCGGAGCAGAAAAACUUUUCCACUUGAAUAAGUUUUCAAAAUAUCUAAUGAAACGUCUUUUAUGUUAUAUCAUCGUCUUAGGAGGAUAAAAGGAGCUUUUAACACCUGUAACUGCGGCUCUAAAGCUCUUGAUUCCUUCUUUGCUGAAUUCAAACACUCUCUGCCGGUGUAGCUUUUAGAGCUCGGUUCAAAGACUGAAAUGUAUGAUUAGCAUAAUAUAUCUUCUCCUCUGAAGCUACAAGUAGUUUGAAGUAGUGAGGAAAGAUAAUAUCGCAGUAAUCUCACUUUAUUAACAAAUCUCCGCCAGAAGACUCAGACUUACUCCUACAGAGAUUGUAUUGAUUGAUAUUUUUAGCGCUGUUUUUCGCCUCCCAGCAGCUUGACAGACAGCGUUGUAUUGUUGGUGCGUCUGAAAAACCAUUGUUGAUUGUUCAUAACCCUGAAAAAAGUAAUUUCAUCUGCUUUUGAUGAAACUCUCCCUCGCCGGUGAUUGCACUGCAGAAGUUACUCGGCAGAUACAAUUAUCCAACUGACCUCCUGACUUUAAGCAAUACAGCAGAGGGAGAAAACAGCCAGUAUCAUCAAAAUAAAGCCAAAACAGCCAGUCCUUUUCUUUAUUUUCUAUAGAGCAGGUCUGCUUUUCUUGCCAACAGUGUUGAAGAUUGCUUCUUUUCCUUAACCUCGAUUUCUAUUCUCCCAUUUCUGUAGGUGUUUAAUCUGUUUGGAUGUUUACAGUGUGUGGGGUUGUAAUGUAAGGUUUUAUCAAACAUGUGAUAAAGAAGAAAGCAGAAUGAUCAUAGGAAUAUUUGUUUUCAUGACUUUUACAUCCACAUCUAUGACAAUUCUUUAUUAUUUUUCUAUUUGUUUUUAUUUGAUCUGACAGACACAAAUACAGCUUACAUUUUUACCUUUUCAUGAAUCUGCAUCUUGCAUCAAACUGAAGAUCUGUGGACUGUGUGUAAAUUACACGAAAAUGUGUUUCUUCUUCUUGGGGUUCAUAUUCCCUUAACCAUAGCCAUGUUUACAAAAUUUCUUGAUCUGAUAAAAAAUUUGAGGGAUCGGAAAAUCUGACUCUACUAUUAAUAUAGGUGCAAAAUCAAAUAGUCAGAUCAUGACGUGCGUAUACAUGCAGAAAGUUUUAUUCAGAUUAGAAGCAUUUGGACAUGUGCAGAGUUGUCUGAUUUCAAUAAAACAACCACAGAAAAAGAAGAGUUGUAUCUACCCCUGCGCGGUCUACAAACCAACAAACACGGUAGUGGCUCACUCCAUCCAAUUCAGGAGUUUUCCCCCCUGUUAAAUAUUGUCACUAGAUGGCGCCCUUACGUACUCAUUUUACUGUCCUGUCAAAGGUUGCACCGGACGCGUUUCAGAAUAACGAUCGGCAUAAACCAAUAUAUACAAUAUAGCUGAAAUGGAAUACAAUUUCUUUCCCAUUGAGCAGAAUAGAAUCAGAAUCUUCUGAUUGACAUGUUUACGUGACGUAUUUUUAUUCCGAUCGGGCCUUUAUUCUGAUUAUAUGUACCCAUGUAAACGCAGCUACUGUCAGAGUAGAAGAAGAAGAAGAACUUGAUUGAUUCCCAAUGGGAAAUUCAAUAAAUAAUGGAUAAUAAUAAAUAAUAAAUUAUUCAGUAAAGCCGAUAUCAGUAGAUAUAUCUAGAUAAGCACUUUGUUGUUGUAAUAACCUCAUGAGUCCUUUUUAUACGUGAAGCAGGGCAGCCUCUAGAGGGCGCCUCACACAAACCAGCCUUACAUGAACUUCGGUUUGUCUUUCGUUGUUGUCAAACUGGCAUCCAUUUCUUUCCUGUUUUCCAUUGUUAUUUUCUAUCAUAGUUGUCUCUUCUGAUGCCUGAGUGAGGUGACUUCAUUUAUUUUUACCCAACAUGCUAACUUUCCUUAAAAAGUUACACCAUUUUUAGAGCUAGCUUGACUACUUCCUAUAUAGUAACCCCUGAAACGUUCAGUCGCGUCCUGAAGCAGCAUCGUCAUCAGACAAAUCUUGUCAUUUCUUUGGUCUUUGCUCUUGUUUUUUUUUACAUUUCCAUUUAAUUCCUUCUGAUUUUUUUUCUCAUUUGGGAUUAAUUUGUUUGUGAGAGUGGUUUGUCUGUUUAUCCACCCCGGUUUGUGUGCCCCCUGAAAUAAUCUCCUUUGUAUUCUGCGAGGUAAAUGCCAUCGUGUCUGCCUGAAUAAUAAUGACUGUAACUUCUGUUUUAAUCAUGACUAGAGUAAACAAACCAAAGUGGCUGUAGAGUUCUUUUACAUUUACAUUAUAAUCCUCAGACAUAACAGAGCUGGUACUUGUCUAAGUACACAAACUGAGAGUACCUGAGCUAAGGCGGCAUGUGUCCACUAAAUGCUGGCUCUAAAUUCAAUGACCUGAAUGUUGUUGGCAGCUCUGUCCUAUUAAAAGGUCUCCCCUCCCUGUCUUUGUCUCUGUGUAAACAGAUCUUUAAAAGGCGAUGAGGUUGCCUGGCCUGUGCUGCCUUAUCUGCAAAGUUAGGAUUGUCUGGAGAAGAUGACCCGGGGUUAUUGAUUUGUGAUCUCUCUUAUGAACAAACACGGACACAUACACCUGCUCACUUUGGCUCAGUUUCACUCUUCCUCUCGCCGCCUUAAAGGUGAUUUCUGUCCAACUUACGAGGCUCGUACACUUGAAGGAAACGUGAAAUCAGGCUUCAGGGAACUCGUGUAUGGAUAUCCUAGUAAAAGAAAUGCCUCUUUACAAGUUUCAAACAGAUGUGAGGAAAAUCUAAAAUAAAUAAUUAGAUUUAAACCCAUCUGGUUCCCACUGAGCGGCAUCUUUCCCCCCCACAACCUUCCUUUUUCUUGUCACUUAGCAGAAGCCUGACUGUGUCAAAUCAAUGUCAAAUUUAAAUGUUAAUAGAAUCUUAAAUUAUUCACCAUGCAGUUGAGCCCAUUUGAACUAUUCCUUGGCUCCAAAUGACUUCUCCCAUAUAAAUAUAUGAUGCCAGGAAUAAAGGUCUGGCUUGAGUCCAAGGAGGCUUCUGUGGUGGGGAUGCUGAUUCGAACAAAGGAUGUCAGGACGUAUUUCUAACUUAAUAUCAAUAAUGACAUUAUAAUCGUCUGUACCAUCAAGAUUACUCUGGUACUAAAGCGAUUGACAGUGAUGGUAGUUGUUCAUCUUGUACUUAUUCCUUUUUUAUGAGAGUUUAGCUCCGUUAAGAGACUGAUUCAAUCUCUGUCUUUAAAGGUUUGAAAGAGGGCGAAAGAACCAGAGCUUUACACAACUGAGGUGAAACCUACAACACGUGGAGUUCACAAGUAAGUGACAAUCUACUGUGAGCCCAUUCAUAUGUUAUUUACGUCCUUACAGUGUGGACAAAACUGAAAGUAUCUGAUCCAGCUGUCGCACAAUACCAGCAUCGACCAAAAUAGUCUUUUUAAGCAAAUAAAGCAUCAAUAUAGCGCUACAUAUGAGCACACAGCAAUAACAUGGGUUAUUGGCAGUCAUUGCCACACUUAACAAAGAGGAAAGGCGAAGAAGAAGAAGCGGUAGCUGCUAGUGAGCUGGCUGUAGCAGCUUUCUGAGACAUGAUUCAGAACAUUCAAAGGCUUUUGUGAAAUCAUUUUCCUAUUCUGUAAUGAGAUCUACCAGAAGUAGUAUCCUUCAGAAUAAAGGUGUAGUUUUAAAGUGUGGGGAAUGAAACAGCCGUAACACAAGACAAAAAAAUGUCAAAAUAAAAGCAUGACAAACAAUCAUUUUUUAAGCCAAUAUCUUCCUUUUUGACGUGAACUGGUGCUGUGGAUAAAUCAUAGAAGUAAUUUUCAGAAGACUUCAAAAAAAACAACAACACACAAUCAGUCAGAGGAAAGGUGAGACAAAAGCAUAACAACACAUACUUAAUAAACUAUAUUAUGAAACACAGCUGACAAGUCUUAAUUAAUUUGUAAUGACGCUCAAAUUUGUGACUCAUCCGCUUAACUGGCCAUGCUUUUAUUUUGAUACUUUUCUGUCUUGUGUUCAGAUUGCUUGAUUUAAUACAUGCUUUUAUUUUGAAGUAUGAGCAACUUUCUGCAGAUUAUACACUUAACAUCAAUAAAUUGUAAAUUUUACAAUUUUAAAAAACCUAAUCCUAACCCUUACCUUAACUUUAUAAUAACUAAGUAAUGUUUAUGGGUGAUUUAUAAACCACUUAUUAAUCAUUCACAAAGUGUUACUGACACACAUCUUAAUUUAGAUGUUUUACAACCAAUAUUUAAACCCUAUAUAAACCUUUAAUAAAUAGUCCAUUAACAAUUAAUGAAAAUUAUUAAUCAUAAUUUCAUUCCUUGUUAAUGGUAAAGUAACUAUGAAUCAGUAAUCUAAAGAGACAAGGGCUCCUAAACUGUGUUUGGAUUCACAGUAAAUCUUUGAAUAUCAGUGAAUAAAAAUAUUGAAUCAUCUCCCAGAAGGCUGCUACAGCUACCUCACCAGCAGCUUCUUCUUCUUCUUCUUCUUCUUCAUCUCUUCCCCACUUUUAUGACAUGUGCCAACCAGCGCGGGGACUACAGCUAUAAACUCGUGGUAUAACCGUAUGUUUAUUUUUAGCUCAGUAUCGAUCCACAGUUCAAUGGGACAGCCUCAGUGCAGAAACUAUCUCCUUUCAGUCUCCUGGAAGCCUCUCACCACAGUGAGAAUCUCCUCAUGUAUUUAUGACACCAGCUGCUAAAUGGUUGUUCAAUAAACCUGCUGCAUUGAUCUCACUUUUUAUUAUAUUUCAAGAAAAAUCGUCUCAAACUGUAUUUUUAAACCAUCUCUUAAGUUCCUUCUUCCUCAUUUCUGGUAUUUUCUCCUUGUCGCCUCCUUACUCCAUCUGAGUCCCAUGAUGUCAGUGCUGCACGGCAGAUUGCACCCUUGCACAAACCAUUGCUAAAAUCUCACAUUAGCCGUCAAGGCCUUGAAUCCCAACACUACAGUGACCUUUAAGAAGCUCUGUUAUUACCUCAGCACUAUUUCCAGACUUCAGUUCUUCGUCUGUGCUGCUGUUACCCGUUAACGUGUAAAAAUAUGAGUCAAAGCCACAUCUGAAUGUAACUUAGCGUUACGAAGGUGGAGUAGAUUUCAGAGGCAGGAGAAUACAGCCAAUAAGGAGAGGGAUGUUUUAUUAGGAUGAAAGAGGAUGAAAUGUCAUGGCUGAGGGACAGCCGCUGACUGAUGUGGCCUGUGAAUGGGCUGUGGCAUCAUCUCGGAAUAUGAUUUAUCGUGGCGGUGGAGAAAGCGCUGAAACUUUCAUUGAAUCAGGGAGGAAUCAUUUAUCACUUUUAUUAGUCUCAAGUAUUCGCUUUGCCGCUCAGCCCGGAGCCAUCCAAAUAAACACAGAGGAGGAAGUCGGAGCGAUCGCAGCCCUAAUGGCGGCAUCAGAGCAGCAGAUUCUGAUGCGUUCCAGAUGUUUUAUGAUUAGACAUAAUGGCCUGCUUGAAAUGGCAACUGCAGCAUAGCCAGGCGCUAUUAAACUGUCUUUUUGUACCCAUUUGAGAACAAUGUACUGCCCUGGAGGAUAGUGAACAUCUAUCAUGUAAUUAGGGUGCCUGUGCUCCAUAUGUAAAAUCAAGUCUUUCUGAAAUCCUGAAUAUAAGAAAAUGACACUGAAUGGCUCGUGGUAAAUGGCAGCUACUAUUAUUCUUACAUCCAUCUGCUCACAUCACGUAAUCACAUCACAUGCCCGUUCCUCCAACAAUAACACACAGACAAACACCUGCUCGCACUGAAGGCUAUUGGCAUCUGCUGGUGCGGAGACAGGAGAGGGGAGGUUUUUUACAAUAUGUGGCACAGAGACAGGCGUCCCAUUGUUGGGGUUUAAUUCCACGGGGCAAAGCCAUCACACCCGCAAUCCACUUUUAAGUGACGCUGCAAACAAAUAAUGACAAGGCCCGCGCAAUUCAUCAAAACCUGCGCGUUGACUUCCAGGAUCUUUCAGCGCAGAUGGUCUGAAAUGCCUCAACACAUGUCUGCGACUUUGUAAUCCUCCGACAGGCUUUACACCCCCCUCUGUUUUUUAUGUCUCCUGACCUUGACGGCAUUUUCCCCGCUGUUCCAUAUGCAUGUUUUCAGGAAGCCACGUGUCACUCUUAAUGCAGUUGGCACGCUGUCAUGUCAGUUUGAUGCUUUAAAAUAUGUGACAAGCUUUGAGAAACAACAAAGCCCCACACUUCAAUCAAGGAAGUAAAACACACUCAGUCAGAGGCAGACGCACGCACACACAAACGCACACACACGCGAUGGUGCUGCCAGGCGCAGGAGUGACAGGUUGAAAGACAGACUACUGAUAGUAAGUUACAAGUUAAAGGAGCGCGGUGAAUUCACAGCCUUUAGUAACGUUCAGAUCUGUGAGUGCGUUUAAAGACUGUCAAAUCACGAGGACUGAUUCCUCCUCCUAUCAGAUUUAUUUCUGAUUAGAUUUCACACGAGUUAAAGUUAAGUUUAGCCAAGAAAAGACAGCAUGUAUGUGCAGAACCCCUGCUAUGUUGAAAGAGAAACCCUGUAGUUUAGCCUGGAGCAACCCAAUUUUUCAUAGACAGUUGAAGUUGCAGUUACAGAUGUAAUAACAUGUUUUUGUAUUGUCAUUUUAUUAACUGGAAUACAUGCUGUAAAAGGUAAUUUUAGUUUCCUCUCCCAUUUUUCAGACACACGUGGAAUAUUUUAAUAUCAAAACAGGUGAGAUGUCAAACAAAAAUGGACACAUUAAACCAGAUUAGCAGCACAGCAUAAGCCGCUGCGCCGUGUUACCUCCCUGGGGCGCAUUCAUUUAACGGACGAUACCGAACAGCAGACAGUCAAAUAUUAGUUUCCUCCAUCUCCCUCGGUACAUAACCAGAGGGGUCCACGGUUCCUCCCCCCUCCUGCUCCCCUCACCCCCAAAUUGCUCCGGCGCUCAUUACCUCUGCAGGAUUGAUGUUUUCUUUUCAUAAUGCACCAAGCUGAUAUCCCUCAGAUUCAGAAUUAAUAAAAUAUGAAGGGCAUUAAUAUUCCCAGCGUUCACGUUUUCGCUAUUAUUGCAGAGGUGCUGGUGAAAACCCCAGACUCGCCCGGCCCUGUCAAUCACCCUCCAGGUGUGCUGCUGCUUCUCUGCCCCUCUCAGGCUGGAGGUGAGCUGCUGACAGACUUCAAGCAGCUCCCUCAAGGGCAUUAAAGGGCGGGUUGUGACACAGACGGUGUAUGUGUCUGUAUCCAAGACCAACUUCCUUUAAUGUAAACCGUGUUCAGAGAGGGGAGGAGAUCUGACGCUCUUUGAUGAAUUCUGUUUAUGUGCUUUGUUUUCCUCAGUUUUCAAGAGAAUCAGUCUAGGCCGAAAGCUGUUCUUUGAUGUAGAUAUCCAUAAAUAUAUACGUGUGUGCGUGUAUAAGCGCUCUUAACCACUUUUUUGCAUUGUGCGAUUUUGCAUAAAUCCAUGAGAAUAAUGCAGAUAAUGAGCUGUUUUCAGAGACAUGGUUUUUGAGCAAAUGUGGUGAUUCCCACUUUAGAGUCAUGUCUGUUUUUAAUGCAGUGCUGCCUGAGGUUUCUUAGAUAACCACUGCCAUGACCACUUACUACAGCUAGUACAAUAAAUAGAGCAGUAAGACCUGAAUUACACAAGUAAAAUCAAAGUUAUUUGCAUCUGUGUAGUCUACCAAUUAUUAUUAUUUGCAUUUAUUUGGCUAUGAAUCAAUUUGGGAAUUUAAAGGGAUAUUCGGCUGUAAAAUUAAUUGAGGGUCAAACGCACCGUAACACCGAGUUAGACACCCCCUCGAGAGAUGAAUGUUGCCGACCGCUUGCUUCUCUAGUUAUACCAACUUUAGUAAAGACCGCACGAUAGCAAUACACAGCGGUCUGAGGAGCCAUAAACAAACCUCAACCAAAACGUCACUCUAUAGCCACAAAUAAUACUCAGAACAGCACCUAACUUCAUCAACAGGACAUAUAGGGUCCCAGCCACCAAACAUCUUUUUAACUUUGCCUUCUUUCUUUAGCAAAGAGACUAAACACAACUCACCUACUCUCUUCCAGCAGCCGCUUGUUUGUAGCGAGACCCCAUUAUGGACUACAGCAGGGUGACGCAGCUCAAGGAAAAACGCUAAGGCAGAAGAACUACUGUGUCUGCAGUGUAAAAUGAUUGAUAUGGUGAUUAUUACUUCAAGAAAUGAUCAUAAAUGUUUGAAAUGUGUUUGACCUUAAAUUAAUUUUAUGCUGGAAUAUCCCUUUAAAGUUGAUCUGAACCACUUUGUGCAUUGUGUGAUUUUCCAUAAACCCAUUAAAAACACAGAGACACAGUUUUUAGGACUAAUUUUGAGUAAAUGCAGUGAGUCCCACUACAGAGUCAUGUCUGUUUCUGAUGCAGGCCCCGUACAUCCCCACUACACAGUAUUAGAUUUUCAUCUCGUCUCCAAAAUUCUGACUCCUUGGAUGACACUUUGCGCCCCACAUGAUGACUCAUGACUCCUUGCCGUGGCGUUCAUGACAUGAGCUAAGCUAAUGUGAAUGGCAGUUAAUUAGAGGAGGGAGCUGACAGCUGCAUAAUGGCAAAGGAAGACAGCAGGAUGUUAAAUAGCAGCGAAAAUAGGCUAAGAGUUACGUAAGAAACCAAAAUAAAACAGAGAAACUAGAGCUUAAAGCUGAGAUGAGAAGAAAGGUGGAUGUUUUGAAAUCUGUAGACGGAGUUUUAAAAGAUGUCUUCAAGUUUUGUGUAUUAAUUACAGCUUAUUUAAGUACUUUCUGACUGCUACAAACUUUGUGGCAGAAGUUUGACUCACUUCUCUGGAGGAGAAAGAGCUAACACCCAGCUGUAGGACCUCCCCUGUGAAUGUAGGUGUCCACAGUUGCUGCUUCUUCACAUCUGAAGGAGUCAGCUGAUGCAGUUUGGGCAUUUUUUUGGGAUACGUCCUGGAGGCUUUCCUGUGGAGGUGUUCGGGGCAUGAACAGUGGGAGGAAGACCUCGAGGUUGGCCCAGAGCUUGCCAGAAGGGAUUAUAUAUCCUAUCUGGUCUGGGAGCGCCUCAGGAUCCCUUGAGAUUGAUUGGCUGAGACUGCUGGCCUUGCAGCCCAAUCCUGGUUAAGCAGAGGAAAAUUGAUGGAGUUGUGGCAUGAUGAGAAAAGUAUUGAAUGUUGUUUCCUGUCCUGAGCCCCGUUAGAGGAUGCGAGGAUGAAUUUUUGUGAUGUUAGGACAUGCUCCUUGCAGUCCUGUGACCACGGCUUCAAUAAUGUCCUCUCCUGGUGGACAUAUCUGCCAUCCUGCUGCAUUUAACUGCACUUUCCUCUGCGGCUCCUCUCUGUUUUCAGCCUGGCUGUUUUUCCUUUCAGGUGAAAAGCAGGCGGGGGGGCUGGCUGCCUGUGCUCUGAGUGACUGUGUUGUUUUUGUGCUUUGAUUCCUCUUUGCAUUUUUACAUUAAGUAAGCCACCGGUAAUUCUCCCAGGUGCUCCCCCUUUUUGCCAACGCUGGCCUUUUAUUCUCGGUACACAAGUCAUUUCAUCAGGUGGGGUCUUUAAAAACAAACUCACAAAGGGAACAAAAGUACAGCAAAUUAACACGGACUGGAAAGUACGAUAAAAUAGAUGAGUCAAAGAUUUUACUUUUUUCUUCUUUGUUUGUUAAAAGCAGACCGGACAAAAGAGCAUCCAGAGAAAACUGAGCGUAAAGUCAAGUCUGAUUGCCUCGCGCUCUCCUCUGUCUCACGGUAGUGCAGGUCGUCCAGCACUGUGGCUCUAGGUGGGUUUGUCUGACAGUCUUUAAACAUGACAGAUAAGAGAGAAUAAUUAAUUUAUCAGAGCAGGCCAGGCUUUAAUCCCUGGUGUCCUGGUGAUAAGGGAAGGUUUCUUCUCUCCUGAUCCCUCUGCCGAUAGGGGCUUUUUUCCUCGCCGCUUUCCCGUUAAUAAGCCUGUCAAAGAGGCGCACGACUCUGGGCUCUGUCCUGUACGGGUUAUCUCUCCGCCACACGUUCCCAUCUCCUCCCUGACAGCCGACAGCAACCGGGUCGCCGGGCCUUUGAAACCCUGGGAGAGCGGGGCCCGUGGGCGUCUCUCUGAGGCGGCCCUGUCAUUUAAACCUGCUAAUUCAAACAUCAGGUGGGUCCGAAACCCACAGGAGGCGCAUCAGCAGUCCUGACAGACAGAUGGACGGACCGCACUGUCCCCAAAAGCUGCACUUUAAUAAUUCUCUUUAAACGCAGUCAUGUUCAGGUUUUCACCUUUCCUCGUGUGCAGCUCCUACCUCUCCGUAGCUGCAGGUAAUAUUUAAUGCUGCAUGUAAGAUGAAGUAUGUCUGAACAUAAUUCAUCCUGCAAAUGCAAACCUGUACGGUCAGUGAUGAGAUCCGUGUUAGAGCAGGAAAUUUAUCACGAGCCUUGAAAGUAUAAAACCCACAGUAAGCUUACAGAAGGGCUAGCCUUGAAUGACGAUAACCAGGAAGGGUAUUUUUGAGUCAGAUAUGUGAGUAAUCUAGUCGAGAUGUUUAAGCGGAGAUAGAAAAUGAUUUCAGUUCAGGGUCUUGAGAAGAAUUUAACAAAUUUUCAACAAGAGCAAAAUACAGGAAAUACAGAACCGUUAAAAUAUAAAUGUAGUUAAAGCUCAAAGUAUUAUUUAUGGUUAUAAUCUGUCUUAAAGCUACUGUGAGGAUGUUUUCCACCUUCAUGAAAUACUUUUAAAUUCAUGUUGAUCCCUUUUUAUGAUAUACGAAAGCAAACAAGGCCAUCAGUGAGACGACUGAAGAUGUUUAUUUUGUAUUUUUUAAUUAAUUCGAGGGGCAAGGUGUUCACCAAGAAGCUAAAAAAACCCAGCUUUUUUUCAAAUUUCACUUUGACUAUUCAAAAUAAAUCAUGCAUUCGACCGUUAAAAGUUGGCAGGAUUAUUAUUUUUUGUCUGGAGAAACUAUUUAUGUCAUAUAGAAGACACAAUAAGCCACACGGGGGCGCCAAAGUAGCCGCAAACUAAAAAGUACCUUAUAGGAACUUUAACAAACGGGAACAGAGACAGAGACUGAUCAUUGUUUCGCUGUUCAUGGCAUAAUCUAACUCAAUAAUCUAAUGAACUGCCUACUCCUUUAUUUUCCUUAAAGGUAAAAAGUUUAGAUACUAUAAACUUCUGUGAAAACUUUGAAGUCUUUUUAUUUUCGACUAAAACAACUUUCACUGACUAAAAUUUUAAAAGUACCGUUCCUUGUAGAGAAACCACAUCCUGAGAUUCUUUCCAGGGACGACAGAAACAAUUAAAACUAAAUCUGAAGGAGGUACAGUGAAUACUCACCACAUUACAGAUGCAACAAUGAUAGCGGCUCAUUUAGUUUUUAAUUUGGAGCCUGAGUGGCCCGGGGAGCGAGCGGGGAGGACAGUGUGUGUCCCGGGGGAGCAGCGGGACGUCUGCGGAGGAGCGGUGUGUGCGGCGGCCCUCUCUGCACCGUGGUCCUUCAUCAAUUCCCUAAAGCCUCACCUAUUUUGCAGGCUGACUGCAUGCAUUAUCAUAUUUUAUGUGGGUCAUGGAAAGCAGCAAGAAUCUGCACCGCUCACGAGAAUUUGUGUUGGGUGUGUGGCUGUAGCUCCAUUCGACUGAACAUUUUGCAUAACAAAUGAACUGCAAGUGCAGUUAAUUCUGGAAAUAUUUGCUCCUUCCCUCCUGGUGCACCCGUCGACUUUAUAUACGUUUUUUAAAAUCCACUCUUUGAUACUGUGAUUUAUUAUUGAUCUUGUGUACCCGGCCUUUUUAUCUGGGAACCAGCAGACCAGUUUACACACAACAAUCACGCCAAGGUCAGUUCUGAAUGAUUCACUUUGUGUCCCUGCUCCGCCAGUCUGUCUCUGUCUAUUUGUCUGUCUUCUGGCUAACUGGAGCACUUCAGCUUUUCGAUCUGUCCAUCCUCGGGAAAAAAAAACAUUUAGCCAAUGCUGCGCCUUAUCUCUCUUGCUCCUCUAAUCUCCUGUGAGCGGCAGGAGUGGAGGCAGAGGGGCUGUCAUUGUCCGGGGAUGUGAACCUGCAACCUUUUCAAUUUCACCCCGCGCUUCAAAAGCCCUUCCGCCUGGACGAUCGCACGUCCUGGACAAAGGUGCCAUUUGCUUUUCAUUUCCUCCACGAUAAGGAGGGGAGAGAAAGUAUUGUAUAUUGUAAUGCUCCCUCACCUUUCUGACAUCAGCAAAAUUGAGGUGCAGGCGAAAGAUCAAUACAAAUUAAAAGUAAAUACAAAAAAAAGGAGGGCAGUAAAGAAGAGGAGUUACAUUACCAUGUUUGGAAAUCCAUUUGCUCGAGCUUCUCUUUUCAAAGUGCUUUUGUCUGUUCAAGAAAGGAGGAGGAAGCAGAAAGUUGAAGAGCUGAAAACUUUCAUCAAUAUGUUUUUCUCUCAGAGAAAUUAGAUUUCAGGGCAAACAAAUAACUUUUAACUUUGUUGGAUUAGUUUGUGCUGAAGUUUAGUUGGCGUAGCAAGUUUGAUAUCAGUUUAUUUAUCUAGCAUAUCAAUAUUUUUGGGGGUGGUUAUAGAAAGUUUGAGAUUUAGCUGUCAAAUUAAACACUUUAUCACUGAAAAACACCAAGUCAUUCUUCAAGGCAACAAGAGGCAUAAAGCAAACGUCUUAUUAGCAACAAUGCCAACAGUGUAACUGAUCGUCUUCAUGUUCCUCAUCCUCUGGAAAUAAUGCAAGAAAUCAGUCUGUUUAACAUCAUCACUGCAGCUUCCCACUCUUACACCGCUAUUUUUUGUUUGGCUUCAGUUAGCUUUAGCCUGGUUAGCAGCAGCAGCUAUCUAGCUAAAGUGUUAAUCAGGAAUCAGACGGGCUUCAAAACGAUACAUAUAGUAUACAGUUUAGGACACAUUUGGAGUAACUUAACAUGAUUUUCAACUUUAUUUAUCUUAUUCAGGCAUCUAUGAAAACCCUAUUUCCAGCUCUAUUCUGCCUCUGUCUGAAUCGCCUUGUUUUUGCUGCUUUACUGAUGAUUUAAAGUUAGACACCGCAUGUCAGCGUUACUUUUCACUCAGCUUUAUAAUCACCAUAGACUGUAUAUAGAAUGGACGCCAUCUGCCUCCUCACUGGAUGAAGCCACCGCGAGAACAGCACCCUCUGGUGACGGGCUGCAGUAUAGGUCAUAAAUCCCGCCUCCUCCAGCAAUCCCUAUAGAGGUGUGGACAAACUUUAGACACUUAUUACACAGAAUACAAAAUUUUCUCCCCUCUGGUUGCGAUGUUGACAUGUAGUUACUGUAAGACUGGUUUGUGCUUAAGUCCUCUUUUUGUCUGUGCAGCUCAGUUUUUAAAAGUUAUUAAGGGGUUCAUGUUUUCUAUGAUUGACACUUCAGGGCUUCAAAUCCGUAUAAUGACGGAAGGCGGAGCCAAGCUGUCCGUAGUAUAUACAAUCAUUGGUAACCACACAAUGACGUUAAAGUUGAGUCUUUACAUUAGCUACUGUUACAUUACCAGCUCUUGUUGUCUUACUUGCAGCUGGAGGUCCCAUAAGACUCUCUGAUGCUCUUUAUAGCUGGACAAGCCCUUAGAUUUAUUACCAGCUGAAAUGCAAAUCCAGCUCAUACAGGCCUUUGUUUAUAAAGGGGUCAACAGUGAAGUGGCGAGCUUAAGCAGCCAUGAUGUGACUGUUGUUACUUUUUUCUGGAGGCUUCUUCCUGAUAAUAACUAACUGUUUCCAAAACAUUACUUGUUUGCAACUUUAUAAGACUUACUGAAUGAACCGUAUGACUGCAUAAAAUGCUCAAAAUUGGGGAUAAACUAUCGGUCAUUUAAAGUAAAACAGAAAAAUACAACAUAGAACACGAUGAUUCAGCACUCGCUGCUCUUCCUCCUAAAGAGACAUUAAUUUUGUGUCAUCUUUGUUUGUAGAUCAUAUCAUCCUUAGCCUUCUCACACCGCCAUAAACAUCCAGCAGCUGCUAUCACCAGUAAACCAUGAUAUCAUUCCUCAUCUGGACUGCGUUAGCAUGGCUCCCAGCUGCAUGGUCAAUGUGCUGGAGAAACUGUGUGUUUUUACACACACUACUUUAUUUUCUGCCUUCGUGUAACGAGCCAAAGUGCUGCAGUUCGAGCUUCUACUCUUGAUUUAUUUCCCUAUUUUCCUCACUAGAACAUUUCCCUGUUCACCAUUUCACUUUCCUCUGCUGGCAUCUUUUCCUGUGCUGCAUUAGAGGAAACAUGCGCCCUGAUAUUCUGUCAUUAUAGCAGCAAUAUCUACACAACAUUAAGCAAAUGACAUCUGGCUGGUAGCAUGUUCCAGUAUCUAAGCACACCUCACGGCGUGGCAGGUGGCCCUGCAUCGAUCAAACGCAGCGCUGCCAGGAUUGGUCGGCAGAAUGGGGAAAAUGGCUGCUCAUGGUAAUUGUGUUUCUCUUCCGACUAUCCUGCUUCUCUAACAGUCCCACAUUUCCAUAGGAAUGGCUUAAGAUGGUGCACAUAUCCACAGGGGUGGAGAAACAUUCUGAAAUGAAAAUAUGCUGCUUAUUUCAACGCCUACGCUUUGGUUAUGGCUUCCGCAGGUGUGAAUGUGAAGCUUCGGCGGCGAAACGCUGAAACAGAGUGUGCAAAAAAACGUUUAAUCUGCACAAACAGUGGGAACACUGCAUAAUCUGUUUAUGCAGAAAACACAUAUUGAAUGUGGGGCUAUUACCUGCAGCAUCAAACUAAACACAGGCAGGCCUGUAGAUACAGAGUCUGAGAAGUUUCAGAUGUCAGUUUAAACAGUUUAGACAUGACCCGAAAUGCUGCUAAGUGCUUAUGGAGGAUUUAUGCGGGGGUCACUGAAUGAUGAGAGCAAAUCCUAGACCAGAGGUUCCCAGACUCUGCCAUGAAAAAGACUCCUAUACAGUAUGUGGAGAGAUGGGGACAUUUAGAGAUGCCCAACAGUCAGAUGUUAGAUUGCCAAGAUGUGUUGCCAUUGGUAACAAAAUCGAGCCAGUCAGUGGGACACAGUUAAAUCAACAAGUAUUACUUGUUUGUCAGGACAGGUGUGUUAGAGAGACGAUCCAAAAUGCUGACUUCCAUACACUCAGUAUGUUUUCAUGUUGCGUACGAUGUGCUGCGCAAUGUUGGUUUCAGGAAGUGGAGAAAGAGUUUUUCGGCUUCAGAUCCGUAUACUGGCGGAAGGCAGAACCAAGUUGUCCAUAGUAUAUACAGUCAAUGCUCAAAAUCUAUUUAUUGCGUUAGUCCGACAGAAACUGGAUUAUUCAAAUACAUGCAAGCGCAGUAAUCCAACUGAAUUUACGUUACAUGGAACUUUUUAGUCGGACUAUCAUACUAGGUGCAGUUGGAGAUUGAUUUUCUCUUCCAUGCAUACGCUCAAUUAGACUGAAACUAGCCUAUGCGUUCUCCAAAUUUCACACAACUUUGAGGAGAUUGAAUAGCAUAAAUGGGUUGCAAGGAAACCGGGUAGUCAACAAAACCUUGACAGACAAAGAAUAAUUGGACACAAAUACGUCCUGUUAGCCACUUGCUAACAGGUUUGUUUUGGUAUGCAACAGGUCAACCAAGAGGAGACUUAUUAGUAACAUGUUGUUAGCAUCCACCAUAGCUGAGGCUAGCAUGCUUUUGUAUUCAAGUCUUGCCCGAUGUUUAAACAAAGACCAUAUCCUAGCUAAAUAACUUAAUCGCACUAUAACUGCAGCUCGACUCAACAGUCUAAGUAGAUGUACCAACUUUCUAACUUAUGAAAUAACAUGUUUGUUAGCAGUGUUUCAGUCCUAAACGGUCAUAUGGCGAGUUUCUGUUGUUAGCAAAUAACCAUGUGAAAAGCACUAGUUGUGUUCCCAAAAAGAGGAGAGUUGUUGUUUGCAAAAGUGUUGUAUUAUUGGCACUUCAAGUUGUAAAAACUUGCGUCUUUUCCUUAAAGGCCACCGUCACAGGAGGGGUGAGCAAAGGGGCAUUUUAUCUAUACUCCCAGUUGUACACACUGUACCUUUAAGGACAGCACAAUGUAUUUCAGUGUAAUGAAAACAGAUUUAGUGUUCAACAUGUUAACGCAGAUAGAUAGAGUCAAAUAACAUGUCAUUUCUACUCGGAGUGGACAGUGUGAGUGCGAGUAAGUCCACCAACUCUCCUGUAACCCAGAGGGACCGAGAAGCAAUCAACAAAUGCAUUACUGUCGUAGGUGCUGUCCACUAACAUGCCCACUCUACUCUUAUUGUGAAAACACAACACACACAUACUCUCAGUGAGCAGAAGACAAGCACCCUGGGAGACUCGGUGGCAUUUCCACUGUUAUUGCUUCUGUAAAUCUGAGCGCAGCCGUGGGAUUACCAUCAGUACAAAUUAAAAACAAAUAGAGGAUGCAGGGUGGAAACACAAGGCAAAGAUCUGGAUCUAUUUGGCCCUGAUUUAUGGACCACUGAUCCAUAGCCGGUUGGGUCAGCGAGCUAGUGAGUGUGCAUUCUAGCAGCCUCAUUGCCAACUCACCUGCCAGUCAAUAACCUAUUUAAUUUAAUGUCACAGCCUAUACGGGCAAAGCAUAUUGACAAGCUGCAGAAUACACCUUCAAGAGGCCUCCAGCUGCUAGUGCCAGAUAAACUGCAUUUGAAAAUUCAAUCUUGCUUCCAUGGUUGCCCCUGAGUCCUUAUAAAUUAUUAAAAAUCACCCCCCCCAGUAAACUAUGAGGGGAAACUUCGAGCUGGGGAGUUAAUGUCAGGUGAUCAGUCGCCGCAAAGACAAGCCAGAAUUCCCAGGUCGCAUUUUCAGCCGAGUCCGGCGGCUCUCAGAGGAGACGCAGUCACUAACUGGCCUUUAUGAAUCUUUCAAAAGGGGGAAAAAGACGAGGAGGAGAUGGUAUUUCAACGAUUAAUAAAGUGUCAGCCCUCGGGUGUAACGUAGGUUAUAUAUGCUGCUGUAGAGCGACACUUUAAAUACGCUCGCCUCUGCUUUCUAUAACGCCGCCUCACCUGGAGGUAAAUAUUAAAGGAGACAAAUCAGAGAGUUUUAUGAGACUCUGUUUGAACUCCAAACAAAACGACGCAUCCCUGAGUGUGUCUCAAAGACUUUGUUGCUCGGAUGACAUCUGAAGGUGACUCCGGCUACAAGUCUCCAUUUUUGAUGCCUCCGUCCUGUCGCAGUCAAUAAGCCAUUUAAUCUGGGUGCUCAGCCGAGUCGAUGCAGCCGAUGUCGUGUCCGGGGCUUAUGGUAGACAAGACGGUGGCUUCUGCCCAGACCUGAUAAACCAUUCAUUCAUUUCCUCAAGCUCCUUUGUCUCCCGUUCGGUUCAGAGAAAAAAGAGCUCUUGGCCUAUUUCAAUCAUGGAUGCCUCUCUUUAAUGAGCUGCUUUAAUCCUCAGCAGCGAACGCAGCUCGCCUUUCAGCGCGACAAAAAAAGUGUACUAGAUUAGAGGAUUACUGGCAUUUAUGUAUUCAUGUACUAAUUUAUGAAUACAAGCCGUUCUAGGGAUGCCAUGCAAGAGAAAGAGAGUCAAAGUCUGCGUUAAUGUUCGUAUCAAAAGCUUGUGUUGCACAAACUGCCAUCACUAAUACGGGUGAUUCAUCCCUCAGGGAACAGAAGCAGCUGCAUGUACCCGGUUACUCAUGUUUAACGUACUUACACUGAUGGGAAAAAAAGAUGUUUUUACUUGAAGAACAACCUGAGUACCAUCAUCGUCCUGCAGUCAGGUUACUUUGAACAGAGAUAAAAGCAUGAAAACAGACCUGCACUGCAGUUUAAAACAAACAACCAACAAAGACACACAUUUAAAACUUACAUAAGUAUCUUAAAGCUGUGAUAAGUGACUUUGAAGGAUUCAGGAAAAGUAAACAGGAUUUCAGAGAGGACCUGAAGAAUGCGGUGGUGUCCCCCUGUAGGCAAAUUCAUGUGCAACUCUUGCCUUUUGUACUAUCUUGACACUGUAGUGUGUACAAAUAUCUGAAUAAGCUACAAACCAAAAACUGCUUUCUAAACUAGACUGUAAACACGCUGAAUCCUGCUGUAAAGAUAGACGUUGUAAUAUGGGACCCAUUGGGUAUGUCUUGAUUUUUGUAGGUAGCCAGCCUCUAGUGGACGCUUGAGGAACUGCAGUUUUUUUGCACCUUGAUGGCUUAAGGCUAAAACAAACAGGAUGUUUAUUUGGCUAUGGAUUUAUCAGUAACACAGAAUAAUCUGAUGGUCAAGCCCUGAUCCAUGUGGACCCCAACAGUAACAGCACAGCAUAAAGGAACAUAGUUUACUUUAUUAAACACGAGUAAAUCUGCGAAAACCCAAACUGUAAACCCACGUUGCUUUUUCAUAUACAGUAGAGGCUCAAUGGUCACUGAAUUAUAUCCAAAUUAUCAGGAAAGAGACCACAGAAAGGAAAAACAACCUGUUGUGAGUAUGUUGUGUCCUCCAUACUGAGAACACGCUUAAUAUGGAUCCUGUAUAUUUUGGGCUUUAAAGUUGCACACCUCUAUAUCUUGACCUUUGCGUCCUUCUUUGUCAUCAGUUUAACUUCAAAUCUGACCGUGAUGUAUGAAGGGAAGUUCAUACAGUUUUUAGAAAGACCUUACAAAGUGCAAUCAUUCUCCCAUUUGGUUCCAUUCAAUCAGCUCACUUCUCUGGCUUCCCCUGCUGGCCACUUGGAUAAAGUGCAGGUACAUCGCUCAUUGCUAUUGGCUGAUUUUUGAAUGCAUCAUCUCCAAACACUAUCAUGUCUUGUGUAACUAUUUGUUUUAGCAGAAGACUUGGUGAGUGAUUGAUACGACACCUUAUCAUUGUAUUUACCAAUUAAUAACAAGUCUGCAACAGCCAAGGGUACUGGAUUAUUGGGUUUCCAGCGCUUUAGAUGUAUUCCAGUAUAUAAGCCUGUAAAAUAAAUGCUGACCCUGGAUCUAAUGAUUUUUUUAUUCCUUAGCUAUGCAGAAAAGCAUUUAAUAUACACACACACUCCUCCUGCUUGUUCGAUAUGCAGCCAAUAAAACUCAGUCCAAAGAUUCUGUGACAGAAACCAUUUAUUUUGCACAGCUGAGAUAACUUUCAGAAAUUCAAACCAGGCUUUAUUAGCUUGUCAUCGAUGCAGAGUGAUGGGACCAGUGCGGAGAGAUGCUCAAACACCACAGCGCACAGUCUCACCCAAGUCUUUUAACUUUGUAUUCUUCUCCGUUUCCGUCUGUUUCGAGCGUUUCUUUUACUUUUUAAAAACUUGUCAUUCCAGUCGAACAAUGCACCUUUGACUCUUCCAGCUGGUGCACAUCCAAAGGCUUCCUGCGUCUUUGCAUAGAAACCCGAACAGUUUUUAAAAUGCAUGAAACUUUCCAGAAGAAGUGCUAUUGUGCGGCUGAAAGAUCAAGUCUAUUGUAGGGUUUGUGGGAAACAAUCACUGUGUGGGGUGUUGGUGGGCAGACAAAGUGCAGUGGGACGCCUCCCGGGCUCCUCUGGAUCUGGCCACGGAACAUCUCGCUAAAUGCGGUCAGACAGAUGAGUCUCGCCUCGGAGCGCUGCCUCCCAAGGGCAGAGUGACAUUUUCUGGGGACAAUAUGGGACUGCAGUGACAUAGAAAACAUCCCCUCCUCCUCCUCUUCCUCUUCCCAGACACACUGCAGUUCAGUUCUGUGGGCCCUCUCCUCUCCUCUCCUCCAUCCCUCCAUCCUCUCCUCCUUUUCUCUCUCCCUCCCUGCUAAUUUCACCGCUCCUGAGUGCUGCUGUAACCGCCUUCUGCCUUUCCAUUCUGUUACAGGUCAAAAGACUUGACAAAGUUCCAGAAAGCCUGGUGGCGCUGCACCGGGGAGAGAAAUGGAUGAAAAUGUGGCUGGGUUCAACAAAGGGAAAUGAUUACAGACAGGAGGGAAACACAGGAGCAAAUUCAGUGUCUGAAAAUGUUAUCUCUGAAGGUGUGACUGUUUUCAAGUGAGCCAUAAUAUUUGAAAAAGGGAGAGUCAAACAACAUCAGAGAAAGAUUCAGCACAUUCACAGCAUUUCAUUUGUUUGUUUUGAGAACAUUUUACUGAACAUGAAAAGAUAGUUUGGCACAUAACAUGAUAAAAUAUUUACUCGGAAAGGCACAAAGUUUGCCAGUUAGGACUGGCUUUGACUGGUAGAUUAAAAAACUAUACUUCCCUUUACUUACGUAUUAAAAAGCUCAAGUUAUCCACCAAAAAAAGAGAGAGAUUUCAUUAGAUAAACAGACGUGUAAGAAAAAAUACUUCAAAAUUAUGUAAAUCUCUAGGUUUGCAUUAAAAUAAAUUGAUUGAAGAAAACAUACGGUGACUUUAAAAAUUGAUAAAAGUCGAAAAAAAUCUUGAAUAUAUGAGAGACUGAGACUUAAACCAGCCGCCAUAUUUGCCCCAGUUUACAAGCCCUGGGCAAGAACCAUUAUAUUGUUAAAUUGGCAGUAUGUUCACCUCCAGUACAGCAGGUGGCGAUACGUCCUUUUCCAACUCCUUACUUCUGAACAGUUUCCUGGUUAUCAUGUUACAUCACAUACCAAAACAAUCGACAAACACAUUUUUUGGACGACAUAUAAAUGAACUGAGAGUGUCCCAGCAGAGUAAGGGGUUAGCUUAUAAAAGUGCUGGUCUUUCAUGACUCCUCUUUGCUGUUUUUAUUGAAUUAGAGAGUUAAAGCUCCAAUGUGGAGUUUUAAUCUGGUAAGGAAAGAGACUGGAUGUAACAGUGAUACUUCUUUAUAGCCUAUAGAAAUGUAAAUGUUCUUUAUUUAUACAGCCCUUUACAACAACCCUUUCGGUGAACCAAAGUGCUUUGCAGUACAUAGAAAAUAAAAAUACAUAAAUAAAAACAAUAAAAGCAACAAAAAAAGAGUAAAAUACAAUGCAUUCAAAUAAAGUUUCACCAUGCUACUGGAUAUUAAAAGCAGCAUAAAUAAGUACGUUUUCAAUCCGGAUUUUAAAAGGCCCAGGUCGGAAAUAAGUCUAAUUUCGGUGGGGAGCUUUUUUCAGAGCCUGGGACCAGCGAGUGAAAAGACUCGGUCACCCCAGUGUUUGUGUUUGAGAUGCCAACAAUAUAAGCAAACCAGAUGAUCAGCAAAAACUUAGACAUUUUUUGUGGUGUGAUUUUAAAGGUUUGUAACUGCUGGACGGGGGUAGGUGUCAGAUGAGAUGAUGUAAAGCACAUGGAAGAAACACCGGUUAUAAAGCAUAAGGAGUGAUAUUUGAGUGAUUUACUUGUACUUGUGGCAGGGAAAUCACUGUCCACAACGGGUGGAGAAACUUGACUUCAGCACAGGAGCUUUAAGCAAGAAUUACAUCUUGAGGCAGAUUUUUUCUCCUUUUGGUUCAAACUUAUUGAAGCUAAAGUGUUGAGAGUGAGUAUGUGAGGCUGUCACUGCCUUGUAAAGUUGCCAGGUCUUGUUAUACAUAUCCUGCAUGUUGUUUUAGGGGGUUUCGCCUUCAUUUGACAGGACAGCCUGAGAGACAGACAAGAAACUAGGUGAAAGAUCAGUGCGAUGAGGACUACAGCCUCGGCACACGGGGUGGUCAGACCAUGAAAUCCAUUCGUAUGAUUUAAAAGACAUAACUAGAGGUAAAAUAGAGAGUACAAGCCAAUCAACUUAGUGUUCCUCUGUUUGCCUCCUGAUCAUAUAUCAUCACCUUGAACAUAUAUAGAUCUAUACAGACCAUCAUUUUCCUCCAGCUGCGUGUCAGUGUCCCCUCCUGUAUUUACUGUCUAGCCUCCUGUACUGUGCUGUCAUCCGUCUGAGUCACUCCGCACAUCUGUCAUUGUGGAUUGCUGCGCUGCGCCGUGUGACAGAUGAGUCCUUCCUUCUCAGCAGGGUCUCUCUCCCUCUCUCUUGGGGGGGGAGGUGCAAAUUUCUGCACAUCCGAGCAUUUGCAAUCAUGCACAGCACCUUGAUGAGAGACGGGGCCCCGCCACUUGAUUGACUGGCAAGCUAACAUGAGGCGAAGGCGACAAACACCACGAAGACCGCGAGCGCGUCCCCGACUCACACGGAAACAGGCCUGGACACUCAGAACGAAUCACCGCACAUUAAGAGCUCAUCUCUCCACCUCGCUCUCCUCCUGAAUUAUGUGACUGGCUGAUAUCCGUGGCUAAUCUCAUUAGGUUAUGUCAGUGAGCAGGGGACAGGUUGCCACUGAAGCUGCUCUGACUGAGUAUUACCGUUGAUUACACAAACACAAGCCUCUCCGCCAUGCAGGAAGAUGUUUUAUUGUCCACUUCAGAGGGAGGAUAAUGUUUGCAAUCAACGUUUGGAGAGUUUCUUGACACCGCGAGACAGGGUCAGAGACAAUUAACUUUCAAGGGUCUGGCCAGAAAAGCAUCCAAUCAAAUCCAGCCAGUCGUUUUCUUUCCUUGUGUUGUACAGCCAGUUAGCGGUCGAUCCAAUUAUGACUUAGGAUCAGAGUCUUGGUUGUACUGCGAGGCGUCCUGCAGGCAGACGCACACAGAGCAGGAGGAGAUCUCUGUGGAGGGCCGUCUGUCGCGCAGGGAUUGUUUGACACUCAGCUCUGAUUGCUCCGUUUUUCAGUGUUAGGUCCCCGCCGUAGGAGGCUAACAGGCCCAGCUCAAGACCGUCUCUCAGUCUGUCCUCCCCAAUGAGGACAAGCACAACUCCAGCUGGGUCGACGGGGUGCUGAUUGGCCGAGAGACUCAGCGCCUGCCGGGGGCACGAGGGAGAGAGGAGGGACCCAGGCGGUCCUGCUGUUUGUUUAAAGGCAGGAAGUCAUGUGGAAAGGCCUAAUGUUUUAAUUGGUGUGAGCGGCGACGGACGGUUCCUGACGAGACUCAUUAAUCAGAGCGGGGUGAAAAGGCUAGAGGCAGAAAGAGCACGAAGAAGAGACGGGAGAGAGAUGGAGGUAUCAGGCAGUACUGAGUGUCAGACAGACCUCUUCAGCUGGGCUCAGACUUCAGGAGUCGUUGAAUGAUUUUGAGUCAUUUUACCAUUUUUUUGUAAAGAUCUAUUUCACAGGUUCUUGCUAUUACUUUUGAGAGGCGAUGAUAGAGGAUAGAGAAGAAAGAGAGGCAGCAACACGCAGGAAAGAGGAUAUAGAACAGAACUGAACCUUGGCAGCUGUAUCAAGGAGCUCAACCUCUGCACACUCGCCUUAAUCCAGUGGCACCCCUCACUUCAGAGGAGGAAACUGUUUAUGAAGUGUUAACUGGGAUUUCCACCGCAUCCGAAACGGCACCGAUCUGGAAUGGCAGCGAUUUUCACUGUACGCAAAUUCCUUCCGGCUCCAUUUGUGAGACGAAUCAUAAGAACUCACGAGAACCUGCGGAUUCACAUGUAAUCGCGCGAAAACGAGUUGUCUUUAGCCACAUAGGCAAAUAUAAGCAGUAGAUUGUGGAAAUCUACUUCUAGACUCAUAAAAUCAGCAUCCUCUCAUCCAUGAUGUCAUCGUGGUGAAAUGCUGUCUACAAACCUUUUACUUGUUCGUCCCCGCCCGUUUGCAUGGUCUGAGAUACAAACCGCCUAAAAACACUAGUGUUUUAUUUUGAAAAGAAGCCGGAUGCUUUAUUUUGUGUCUGUGCUCGACUUCCUUUCCAGCACGGGUUGAUCUUUGCUAAAUUUAUAUGGCAUGCUACAGCGUCCAGAAAAAAAUUGAACUCUUGCGAUUAGCUGCGGAGUCCGGCGAGCCGCAGUGGAACGGAAAGAGGCCGUUGGAAAUUGACACAUUACCUUAAAUGGUUGCGAUCAGCUACGACCGGCGGAUACGGCCUUUUUGUAGCUGUUCCGGAUGUGGCGGAAAACGCCGGUAAAUUUUUUAUCAUUAACUGCAUCCAGAACAAGCUGCUUGUGGGAGCAUUGAUGCCUUUCAGCAACAAGAUUUGAACACCUAUCGUCUUUAUUCUGUUACAGCUGUACCUCAUAAAUGUCUAUUCAAACCAAACAGGACAAAGCAGCUCUGCAUGUGUUUGAAAUAAAACACUAAAAUAUCCCUGAAUUUUCCAUGUGUGCAAAAUGCAGAUUUUAAAAUCAGUCGACAUCUCUAAACUCCUGUAGUUUCUACCCCGUCUUCGCCUCCUCGUCCUCCUUCCUCGCAACAAUCAGAGACACCCACUGACACCCUCACAGCUGCGUCUGUCACACUCGGCCACUCAACCACAGAGAGCCGAGCGAGGCUGCAGCAAUAAUUAGAAACUAUUUACACAGGCGUACAUGUGUACAUGUUGAAAAACCCACUCCAGAUCACGGAGAUGCACCACAGAGACAAGAUCUAUGUUGUACAGCAAGAUCCCUGUUUGUCAUGUCCAUCACGGCCUUUGCUUUUCGAGGCCAGUUCAAGCUGCACAACACAUACUUGACAACAAGCCUGAAGAGAUUGAAACAUCAGCUACACACACACAAAGAAUGAAUCAAUGAAUCGCAUACAAAAGUUCCCUUUGGCCAGUCCAUCACACAGCAGCUUCUCUGACUGGACUGAUGUACCCUACACAAACUAGGAAAAAAAAAAAAGCUCUUUCCUCCACCACUGUCUUUCUCAGCGCGUCCUUUCAGCCUCUUUGCCCUGAUCUCAUUCAGGUCACUUCACCUAAUGGAGUAAAAUUUUGGCCCCGAGGCCUGGAGCUGUCUUCUGGUCUCAAACAUCCACAUUUCAGGACUUUCUUUGUUUCUCACUCCUCGGACCCCGUGUCUCUGCCCCGGGCUCACACACACACACAGAGAAGUCACUUAACCGCCUCUUAGGUUGCCAUUUCUGCAGCUAUUCAUGGCCGUACCAUUAAAGCAGGGCUGGCACUUUAUGUUUGUGUCACUGCAUUUGGUUUCUGCCUCUCUCUAUGGCCUCCAUUUUGAACUAUUACAUUACAACCAGUUGAAAAAUGAUACCACCGGAACGCUGCUUCAACUAGUGCCCAUACUGAGAUCAUGAAUGCCUCUUUUAUUGACAGAUCUUCUUAUAAAAAUAUCCGAAAUGACACUUUCCCUCGUCCUUUGGCUGUUCAUUACACUAAAAGGUCAGUGUCGCCUUCGCUUUUGGGAUUCUCUCAGAGGAAAGUGUGUUUUUCUACUCUACUAGCUCCAAUUUCAUACUCGUGUUCCUCUGUUUUAGAUGCUCAUUUUUUGUUUGGAUCACAGAAUCCAUGUGUAGUAUUAUGCAAAUGUUUGCCCAGUGCUUUUCCCCUGUGAUGGGUUUCCAUCCAAAAAACAUUUCAGCAUGAAGACAAUUGCGCACAGAGGUAGAGUAGGAGAAGGAAAUGGGUGUUGAAAUUGCCUUUGUUUGUGUAAAUUGUGUAGAGGCUAGUUAGAUCUGUGAAUGAUGGAAAGGAAAAUUAUGUCUUUUUCAAAAAUUUGCCACUUUAUCCAGAUUUAAAAGUAGCGACAAUUUCAGUUUGUCUUUCGCAUCUGCCAACAGCUUCUGGUGUCGUGAGGUUUAGACGAGAAGUUUCUGAGUGAAGUUGUGAGAGUAGGAGCUGUGAUUGUGAGGAGCUGAGGUUUAUAGCUGGUGUUACUUAUUUAAGACCCCGAAUCAAAAACAAGUAAUGUGGAGUGAGUGGACGGUCAGGCAAAUAGAGUCAUGAGACAGCUGACAUGAAAACAUCCCCACUGCUCUUGCUAUUGAGAAGGGUUUCGACCAAUCAGAACCAAGUAUUCAACACAGGAAGGUCAUUAUAAGAAAAGAUGGAUAAUACAUAAGACUGUGAGAUGCAGUUGUUUCAGCUAUAGAGGUAAAAUUGCUGGUUACUUUUUAAACAUUAUCAAAAAAAACAAUCCCAAACUACCAUGAUUACAGAUUCAGAUUCAGACUUUGUCGUUGUACACCAAGUUACAACGAAAUUAGUUCAGGAUGCUCUUCCCUGUGUGCAACAAAAGCAAUAAAUAUAAGAACAAUAAAUAUAAAAACAAAAAGUGUAAAGCACACUGUAUAAAAACAGCAUUAUAUGGCCUACUAGAAAAACUUUAAAUAAUGAAAUAUACGAAUCAUACAGCCCCAAACUUCCAGUGAAUAUACAAUUUAUGUCAACAGGAAGCUAUGGCGAAAUUGUGAAGUGGAUUUGCCCACAUGCCCAUGGAAAUAGCAAUAUGUGAUUAUACCAGGUAGCAGCUGACUGUGUGCUGUUGCCAACAUUUACAAACUGUACUCAGAAUUGCAAAAACUGCUUUUUUUUUUUUAGGCCAAGAGCACUCUGACUUCAAACCUGACUGAUCUAAGCCUAUAGAGGGGGCAUAGCCCACUAACCCGCAUGUGCAGCACAUAUAAACAAAAAUAGCCAUGCAGAAGCAGAGGCACUGACGUCGCCAUUUUCCCUAAAACUAUGUUUGCACUAUUCAUGGGAUUUCAGAUGAAUCAGAGUUUUAAUAAAAUCUGCUCUAGACUCAAAAACUCUAAAUUUCUAGUGACCUGAAAUGCCACCCUAAGCCAGUUUUCAUAAUAAUUCCCGUACACAUGGACAUGGCCUUUUCAAGGAGUGGGCAGAGACCCCACUUGUCCCCCUCUUCAGCAGCCACUGGAAAAUAGACGCAUGUUACUCAUGAGUUUAGUAUUGAUUCCCAGCUUCAGUAUAACCACAGUGAUGAAUAUAAGGUCACAGACACACAUUUUGACUCACAGCCUGAUCCAGCUCCUCCAGUGUGAACCGGUAACGUGAUCUCUCCUCGAGUGCGACGCCACCUACAUACACGCUCAGUCCCACACAGUCCUUUCCCAUCAGGCGGCGUGCACUCUGGAGGGCCAGUUUUCCUGGUGGGCAUGGUUUCCUUCAACUGUCCACCCACCAAAAACUCAUCAUCUUAAUUGUCCCUUCUGUUGAUGUGAAAUUCAAUAAAAGUGGCAGGGAGCGUUUUGAAUUGAUUGUGAAUAGAUGUGGCUGCCUGGCUGUCGUCUUUCCUGACAGCUGGAGGAGAGUUGAUGUACUGUAUUCCUCCAAGUGUGUAUGUGUGUGUGUGUACAUGUGUGAUGUGUAGGUGUGUGUGGCGAGCGUCGGGAGUGGGUGGGGGUUUCUUCAUUAUCUUGACUUGAAAAGUGGUUUUCAUGGAAAUGUGGCACAUCUGUGACAAAUCGUGUCUGCACUGCCCACCCUCUGCAUUUUUUUUUUCUUUUUUUACAUAACCUUGCUGGUAGUGCAUUGCAAAUCUGUCUCUUCACAUUUGUACAGUUAUGUACAAUUGCUCACAGGGCAUGAAUUCCUCAUUGGCGUUGGCAAAAUGGGGAGGUAAAAGAUGAAAAACCAUCAAGUCCCUACUUUUCACAUGGCUGCACUCGACUCAUUGCUCUCUGAUGGCGUGCCCAUGCAACUAAAGCUGUGAAAAAUGAUGUUUUUUUUCAGGCUGUUUGACCUUGGCCUGAAAUACACAACCUAACCAAUAUUUAACAUGUUGCUUUUUCCACACCUGCUGCCUCCGGGGACGCCAUCAGCAAAGCGCUCCUGCAGAGUUAGAAGGGCCAAGGAAGGUAAAGUGUCACACUGAGCUAUGCAACGGCAGGUGAUGAUGUGGAAAAACAAACUCAUCCAUCUGGAGAGUUCGGCACUGCAACACGAUUCAAAGCCGCUUGGACGUGUUCGGUAAAGAUCCGUUUUGAUACCCCGAGGACGGCGUCUCUUGUUAAUUGAUAAAGUCUUAACACGUGUCUGUGAGGUUGUCAUCCAGAAAAAGCAUGAAAUACAUUCAACUUCGCUUUUUUUAUCUUUCUAAAUCAGUAUCGAUCAGCAGAGCUUGUUCCUCUCCAGACGGCAAUCAAGACAUUACAAUGCCUGGCACCCAUUUCCACCCCCGUCCUGCAUUGAUUUUAGGAAAAGCAGGCCUCCUCUGAACUCAGCCGGUACUUUAAAAACUUCAUCGCUGUCUAGCUCGUUAUCAAACGCCUCAGGGGCCCUCUCUGCCCUUCAAAAUAAAAGGUUGCCAAUAUUUGCCUCAUUAUUAUUUUAUCUAUCCUUCAAAAACCCCUCUAGUCUUUUACUCUCUUAAUCCCUGUUCAAAUGGCGAUGUCAAAGGAUUUUGAUUUUUGUCUUAAACUUGUUCAAUUUGAAGCCAUUGUUGUUUUGAAAUGGUCAAAUAGUCACACAGGGCCAUUUAUUCCUGCAUGUUAUCAUGUUGUAUCACACUAGUAGCACUCUGCAUCACUUUACAUUAAAGCUCCAAUGGGGAACGUUUAUUUUAUGUCCAGUUUGGCACCCUUACAAACCAAAGUCGUGUUUUUUCUCUCUAUUGUCCUCAAGUUCAUUAGUAAGUUGUGUCUUAAUUUUCUUUCUUGUAAUGGUACAAAGUGUCACUCACUGUUACAGCCUUAUAAAUAUCUACAUCGUAAUUAUUAUUGAUUGUCCCUCUGAUGGUUUAGUGAGCUAAGUCAUGUGGAGGCAUUGGUAUCAAUUGGAGCCUGUUUAAAAACCAGCUGAAAACUUCUUACAGGAGCUUUAAAGCCCUGCGAUGCGUGAGAUUUAAAGGUGCAGUGUGUAGUUUUAGCAGCAGUCAACAGAGUAGAUUUGGUAAAAGUUGGAUAUGAUUAAUUUUGGUCUGUGUUUUAAAGGGAUAUUCUGGCGUAGAAUUAAGUUAGGGUCAAAGAAACCAUAACACUGAGUUAGACACCCCCUUGAGAGAUGAAUGUUGCCAACCGCUUGCUUCUCUAGUUAUACCAACUUUACAAACGACCGCAGAUAGCAAUACAGAGAGCCACGCACCCAACUAAAACGCCACUCUAUAGCAACAAAUAAUGUUCAGAACAGCACCUAACUUCACCAACAGGACACAUAGGGUCCCAGCCACAGUACUAGCCAACAAACAUCUUUUUAAGUUUGCCUAAUUUCUUUAGUAAAGAGACUAAACACAACUCACCCACUCUCUUCCAGCAAUCGCUUGUCUGUAUGGAGACCUAAGGCCAGUCCAUUACAGCUAUCUGCGGUCAUUUGUGAAGUUGGUAUAACUAGAGAAGCAAGCAGUCAGCAACAUUCAUCUCUCUACAGGGUGUCUAACUCAGUGUUACGGUGUGUUUGACCCUAAAUUAAUUUUACGCCUGAAUAUCCAUUUAACCAGAUUUUUUAAAAAUUACAUACUAAUGCUUUAAAACCAAAGUUUACAGUGUAGCUGCUGAUGGAAAGGGGAAAAAAAUUAACAUAGCAGCUGACUCACCCUCAGCUUUUAAACUGAUGUUGCUUUCAGUCUAACCCUCUCUCUCUCUCUCUCUCUCUCUCUCUCUCUCUCUCUCUCUCUCUCUCUCUCUCUCUCUCUCUCUCUUUGUCUCUCUCUCGCCCUUCAUUAAUUACAGGCUCAGCAUCAGCCGAGGAUCUCACAACACGGGGUUAAUGUGGGAGAGGAUAUGUCGCCCGGGGAAGCUGGUGCCUGAUGCCAGUAGGUUCUCCACACCCCUCACAUCCCACUGUGACACCCACAUUCACACUCCUGCCACCCGUGAGCAGCUAAGUGCACCUCUAAAUCAGCUUACAGAAGUUCGCUAAACACCGGGCAUAUUUCCAUGAAAUAUUAAUUAACCUGAAAAAUAACUAACACUGUCGGGGCUCUUUGUGUUUCACUUCUAGAUUCCCACUGACAGAAUCGAAGAUUUUGUUCGGAUUAAUUUGUCCAUUCACAUUCAAAUAAAUGCUUUCCUUUGUUGAGAGAGCGGCACAGGUUUUUGGCUUUUAGACUUUCUUUGUUCAUAUUUUAUUAAAUGAUUUUAAUGUUUGUAUGAGCCUAGGAACAAAAAAACAGAAGGGAAAAUUUAAAAGAAUACAUGUGGGAAGCAUAUACUGUAAUUACCUGUAUAACCAUAGUGUAGGCUAUAUCAUGUAAAUGUCCAAAGUAGUACAAAAUAGUAUUAUGUAUCACCACCAGUGAGUCUACUGCGGCCGAAAGUCACUUUUGUAUCCUGACAUUUAGAGAAAAAUCAUCCAUUAUUUUCAAAAGUUUCUCUUAGUUUGUUUAUUCAUAAUAAAUACAUCGUUUGCACCAAUUAUAGACCCACUUUUAUUGGUUAAAAAAAACGUUUUUUAACAGAUUCAAAUCUUUAUUUUUAUAAUGUAGUGAGUUACAAAAGAAAUGUAGCAAGCUAGGUUACAGCAACACGGCAACAGCACUUCAGCUGCUUUAAAGCUUCCAAACUGAGCUCAUCAAUAUUAUGAUUACUUAUUUUAAUUAGAAGUAUAAUUAUAUGUUUCCCAGUUUUGAUUGAGUCCCUUGAAGAACAUGCUGUUGUUAGCAUGAGCUCGUCCUGUAUUAGAGUUUUGGUGAAGGGAUUGUCCCUUUUGUUUACACCUGUCUUUGAAGGAUCAGUGAUUCAUUUCAGAAACCAAACAAAACCUAAUUUUCCAAUGAGUGCAUACCAAGCCAAGUAGAUAUCUUCAGCUUUAUUUGCACAGGAGAUAGCUGUUAGAUUGCAGAUGCUGCCGAAAUGAAAUGAAGGGGAGUGAGAUAGAAGGGGAUUUUCAUUUUUGGUGACCCCUUAAUUUCACAGUAUUUCCAGGAAUGACUUUCAUCCAAGCUGCGACUUUCAAUGCAUGAGUAUAAAAACUGCAGUUCCUUAAAGGGAUAUUACAAUAGCAAGACCUCGGGCCAGUCCAUUACGGACUACAGCGGGGUGACGCAGCUCAAGGAAGAACAUUUAUGAUCAUUUCUUUAUCAUGUCCUUUAAGUAAUAAUCACCAUAUUAAUCAUUUUGCACUGCAGACGUGGUAGUUCUUCUGCCUUAGUGUCUCGGUCUGAUUGCAUUUCUGUGAAGAAAUGAUCAUAAAUGUUCUUCCUUGAGCUGCGUCACCCCGCUGUAGUCUGUAAUGGACUGGCCCGGAAGUCGCGAUACAAACGAGCAGGUGCUGGAAGAGAGUCGGCGAGUUGUGUUUAGUCUCUUUGCUAAAGAAAUCAGGCAAAGUUAAAUAGAUGUUUGAUGGCUAGUACUAUGGCUAGGACCCUAUAUGUCCUGUUGAUGAAGUUAGGUGCUGUUCUGAGCAUUAUUUGUGGCUAUAGAGUGGCGUAUUUGUUGAGGUUUGGUUAUGGCUCCUCAGACCGCUGUGUAUUGCUAUCCUGUGGUUGUUACUAAAGUUGGUAUAACUAGAGAAGCAAGGGGUUGGCAACAUUCAUCUCUCAAGGGGGUGUCUAACUUGGUGUUACUGUGUGUUUGGCCCUAAAUUAAUUUUACGCCGGAAUAUCCCUUUAAGUGUCCACAUGAAGCCAUUCACACCAAUGCAUCUGCGAUGAUUCAUAACCUGGCUUCUUCAAUAAUCAUCUACAUAUUUGAAAAGUUAAUUGUGAUUGGUCCAGACCCUUAAACAAUGUUUAUUAACUGAAAGUAGGCGGCUGUAAACCGUGUACAUGCUAGCAAAGCAUGAUUAAGUGCAUAAGACACUGAAGAGACCUCUACCAAAUCGAAGAAAACAUUGAAACAGGACUGAAUUAUGCAUAUGCCAAUAAGAAAAUGCAAAUAUUAAGACUUUACCUGAAAUGAUAGCAUUAAACUGUGGACUAAAUGUUGAGUUUGAACCUGCAAAAAGGCUGAUUAGAGUUUAAAAGCCAUGGAGGUGCCACCAACUUCAAAUGUAUUACCCUACCAGCGUAGAGAUGACGUUCAACCUCGUUUUUUUUUGGUGUUUUUGAGCUGUUUUGAUAUCGCCCCUCCUCUGCAGCAUGUCUGUGCAGUUGCUUAUGCCUGGAUUAGAGGCAGAAUACAUAAAUAAAGGGAUUAGUGAGAUCAGUGUCAAUCUCCGACAGAAUGAUUUAUACUGCCUCAGGUGUUCUCAUUCUUGUGCGACAAAGACAAGUCAUGAUUAAUUAGUCACAAAACACGCCGUGAUAGCAGAGACUCUGAGGGUGUAGAAAAGAUAGAUUAAAUUCAGAAUAUCUCUCCGCUGUGACGUAUGAAUUUUGUCACUUUGCUUGUAAUUGCACCCGUGCACUGUAAAUCUCCUGUUCUGUUGAGUUGGAUGCAAAGCUCGCCGGGGAAAUACAUCCUGUUAUUGCUUUGGAUAAAUAAAUAAAUUCAAUUACAACCCGUAUGCACUGAAUAACUUUGCGCCGGUGCAGCCCAGCUUUGCCCAUUUCAGAGUGAUUAAUGCUGCAGAGGGGAGCGCUAACUGAGACACAGGAGAGUCUUAUUGACAUUAAAGAAGAUAUCAUCCUACAGGCUGAGACUGUACCUGUCAAUGAAAGAGGCCGCCCUGCCUCAAGAAGUGAACAAGAAGUUUCUAAUUUCAGAGCGGUUUAUUGAGGCGUCACAUUGCGCCUGCUGUGGGCUCACGCUCCGCUGGCCUUUCAGACCUUAACUUUCUGUCUCAAUCAGGGGAAAUGAUUGCCUGGCUGCCUGCUACCUGCCUUUUCGUCAUCCUGUAAUUACACUUACUUCCAUUUAGAAUCACAUGCCUCGCAGGUCUGACUGGGAGUCGACGGCUCCCACUCACAGGGGGGGAGGUUCAGCCAGCAGGGACGAGACGAGCCGGAUCAGGGAUGUUGCACCUUCAUUAUG